rnacentral:lncRNA from 1 species
UUGAACCUCUCUACAAUAACAUCAUUUGUCUGGUUGGGAGGGGUAGAAAAGAUGGGUGAGGUAAAAUUUAAAAGCUACGUCACCUUUUUGGAAUAAAAAACCAGUCUUAAGACUUUUUUUUGGAUCAUUGUAAACGAAAUGAAUAGAUAUGCCCCAUUUGUUAAACACAAAGUAUAUAUGCACUAUCUUUUAAGGAGGAAUAUGUGCUUUAAAUCACCGAAAGCAGACGACAACACUUAACUUUUUCUUUGUGUGGAAGGAAAGUGAAAACAAAAGAAUCAAUUCGUUUAGGAUUUUCUUCCAACUUUAUUUAAUAGAAGGAAGUAAGAAAUUCCUUCAAGCCCAUGAAGCUACAAAUUACAAAAGAAAGAAAAAAGAGGAAAAAGUUAAUGAGAUUAUGGCUUUGGUUUUUGUAACAAAUCUGCAAGAUCAAGGGGCAACACUACGCCGCAGCAACAGGGACAAACAACCCCCUAAAUACUUGGACCAAUAUGUGGUCCCAAAUGCCAAGCAAGGUCCACCUGUGCUAGUAUCAGUAGCACCAGUAGCAGCAGGCAGUGCUGCCAGGAGCUCUGCAACAUAACUUAUCUAUAUAAUCAAAAGGUAUGCUACCAAGGAGGAUCAUGGAUGAAGUUGUCUUUUAAUUUCUUAGCUUUGUAAUAGUCUGAAAUCUCUCUCCAUUCUUGUUUUUUUUUUCUUUUUAGCUUAUCUACACUUUCAGUAAUUGUAAGUUAUUCUCUAUCUUUCAAAACAAGUUAGUUUGCUCCAGUUGUCACCAAAAGCAGAUAACAUUAUGGGUCCUACUUGAAUGCAAAAUAAGAAUCUAAUAAUAGAGGAGGAAGAAGAUAUUGGAUUCCCAGCAAUUCUCCGCUAAAUACUAAUCAAACUUUAUCUAUUAGAUUUGACAUGAUAUAUCAGAAAAGUGAAAAUUAGCGGAAACUCACAUUUCGAGGUAUAAUUUUACCAAUAUCUGCUUUCUUUAAUUUAUUUCUAGAUUCUGGUGCAACUUUGUGAGGUAUAAAUUUUAUUUUUUGCAUCUGACAUACUCAAAGACCAAAAUUAUUAAGUGCAUACUUAAGAAACUAUUUUGAAUGUAUCAUCAAAAACAUAAAGCUUCAUUUUUUUUCAUUUUCCCUUUUCACAACUUAUUCAAGCACAACGUUUGACUGAUGACAGCGGGUUGUCAAAGUUAUUUUUAACUGGCUCAAGUCAAACAGUUUCAACAAGGUGGCAUUUUAUUAACCAUGAUGAUUCGACUUGAAACUAUAGGUUCAUGCAUCAAUUUAGUGGGAUGUAUCCUUCAAAAUCAUGAAGAAUGGUAGACAAUAUGAUGCAAUAAUUUUCCAACAUCAUUGCUCUGAACUACUUAAUCCGUAUGCUACAUUGACCAUCCGCUUUACUUCAUAUUCACGAACUACUUCUACCAUGUAGAUUUACGUUAGAUAACUACACUUCUUCGGUAGAACUUAGUAUUGGCAGAGAGUAUUUGAGCUCUACAUCCCAAUGGAAGAACUGUUGCUCUACCACCAGAGCUACUUACAAAUAUUCCGGGAAAUAGUUCCCCUUUGGACCAUUUUUACUUCUUGAUCUGAGGCAAUUUACUGAUAGUUUCAAGGCUUUUGCAUCUACCUGUUUUGGCACAGGUUUCUUGCUUCACGCACAUUCAUCUCCAUAUGGUUUUUGGAAGCUACUUGUCAGCAAAGGCUAAGUUGUCCAAAAAAGUUGGCAGUCAUGUCACCUACCUCUACAAAGACAAAAACUAUACAGAUUCCAAUGUUCUUUCGGGAAUGUUUCUCAGGCCAAGAGUGUAGUUGUUCUGUUACAUAGAAAACAUGCACCAUUCAUAUGCAGUGUCACCAGUUCUGUUCUGAAAUACCAUGUUCUCAUUUUGUACUGCAAAAAUAAUCAAAUCCAAAAAACUGGAACUUGUUAAAACCACUUAUAAGUAAUCAAAUUAUACAUAUAAUUACUUUAUCACAUAUUCCUAAUCCAAAAUGAUCACAAAAACUUGCAGCAUUUCUUUUUUAAACUCCUCAACUAGCCUUCCAUUAUUUCCUGUUACCAGAAGAUAAUCAACAUAAAGAGACACAUUUACAUAAAGAGUGGAUUCAGAUAAGUUUUUUUAAAAACCCAAACUUAACAGCUAUACCAAGCACUUGGCACUUGUUUUAGGCCAUAAAAAGCCUUUUUUAGCAAAUAGAUUUUAUCUUUAUCACCAUGUUUCACAAAUUCUGAUGGUUGCUCGACAUAUAUUUCCUCCUUUAGUAUGCCAUUUAAGAAGGCUGAUUUGACAUCAAGUUGGAACACUUUCCAUUUCAUUUGUGUUGCUAUUGUGAGCAACAAUCUGAUUGUGUCUUAUCUUGCAACAGGAGAGAAAGUGUAAGAGAAAUCAAAUCCAAAAAUUUGUGCAUACCCUUUCACUACAUGCCUUGCUUUAUGCCUGUUGAUUGAACCAUCAACAUUUAGCUUGGUCCGAAACACCCAUUUUACCCCAAAACCUUUCUUCAUUGAGGUUUGUCAACAAGCUGCCAGGUAUUUUUUUUUUCUAUCUAUCAUGAACAACUCCUCCGCCUUUGCAUUUUUCUACUUGGGGUCUUUGAGACCAUCUUCAGGGUUAGCAGGACCACGUAUUGCUAUAUUACAUCUCUCAUAAAUGUCAGAGAAAUGUUCCCCUUACUGGUGGAUGAUCCUCUAUUUCAUUAACGAUGACCUUGUUUUCUGGACAGAAUUCUUUGAAUCUUCACAUCCCAAUUCUUUAUUUUCCACGAAGUAGACAUCUCUGCUGACAACUAUCUUCUCAAUGUUUGGUUGAAAGAUUUUGUACGCCUUUGAAAAAGCACUACAUCCAAUAAAAAUGCUUGGGCAGCCUCUUUGUCUAGUUUAUCUCUUUAACCUGAGGAAAAUAGCUAAAUCAAAGACAACCAAACACUUCAAGAAAAUGCAGCGGAGGUUUGUACCCAUACCAUGCUUCAAAAGAAGUUUGAUCUUUUGCAGCCAUUGAGGGAAGUCGAUUUUGUAUGAACACAAUUGUGUUUGCUGCCUCUGCCCAAAAUCUCUGACAUAUUCUUCUCGUGCAACAUACAUCUUUCCAUUUCCAUAAUAAAUCUAUUUCUUCGUUCACUAACUCCAUUUUGUCAUAGGGUAUAAGGAGCGGUAAGUUGAAGUUCUAUCCCUUCUUCUUUACAAAACAGAUUGAACUAAUAAGAAGUAUACUCCUUGUCGUUGUCAGAUCGUAAAAUCUGAAUUUUGCAGCAACUUUCAUUUUACACUUUCCAUUUUGAACUUCCAAAAAACACUCUUGAUGUCUGAAGAACUGCAGUGGGUUGCUUCUCAACUUAGGACCUUUUCCCAGACAUCAAAUAGUAAGAACUAGGAAAAUCUUAAUAAUAUAGUGCAAAGAGAGAGUAAAUAUUAGACACAACAAUUUUAUGUGGAAACUCCUUACUCAAGGGCAAAAAACCGCGACCUUCUUCUAGGAUUUCUAAGCUCCACUAUAUCAAAGCAAAGUUGAAUAAAAACUCCAAACUCCAAGGAUUAAACUCCUAAUCCUUUAUCUCCUAGUAUUAACUCUUUUACAAGAAGACACAAGCGGUAACUCUACUGCUACAGACUCUAGAUAACUCUAACUGGACAAACCAGCUAACUCUAGCUUGGGAAUCACCGAACUCUAGAUGAGUACAAAGAAAUCUAGUUUUCACCACAACACCUACUAAUAAUUUUACAAGCAAUAGUAGGCAAACAUUUAAGAACACAUUAAAAAGAAUCAAAUACAACAAAAAAAUAAAAUACAACUUGAGGACCUAUUAGUUUCUUGUGUCAAAGUGAGUCUUUGAUUCAAGAGCUUCAAACGAAAUAUAUGUUGUAAGUAUGUGGAAGCUUGGUUUUCUUGUUGGAGAAGAUGAGCAAUAUAUAUUAUGAUACAAGAAAUCCUAGGAGGAAUGUCAUUGGUUGAGACAAAAGGUAGCAAUAACUUUUCACCAACUUUUGUACUUGUACCUAGCUAUGGUGUUGACUGUGAUAGUGAUAGGUGAGCCCAAUUUGUUCCCUAAGUAGUAGCAGCUUUUUCAUCACAUAAUAUCCAAGGAAACAAGUCCCAACAUACAAUUCGUUAAUCAUCAAAACUAAGGACUUAACAAUUUCCCCCUUUUGAUGAUGACAAACCCAUGCAAGCAUUCAGUAUUUUCAACCAUCUCGACAACACACUGAAUACAUAACAUGACUCAGCAACACAUGCCCGCAAGCUUGUUUCUCCACCAAUUCCCCCUGCAUUAUAACCUAAACAUUCCUCACAAUAUUCCCUCUGUUAAGGAGCACCUAAGGUUGCCCUUGAGUGUAAAAACUACUACACUGUCUUCAUUCACCAUCCCCUAUUCUCCCUUAACAACCCAUACCAUGCUUUUCCCCUUCACAUACCAUGCACAACUAGAUACAUCUCAACUUUCCCUCUUUUUCAUUAUCAAAGAGGUUAGGUAGCAAACCAAGUAUAGAUACACAUAUGUUAACCCAUGGAGAUUGAGGCAAUACUGAUAUGAGCAGGGAAGAUGGAAUAAAAAAGAGAGAAAAUAGAAUCAAGAGGACUCAUACAGGAAUUAAGAGAAAGUAUCAAACACUAUUCAGAUAGAGGUCCAUAAUAAGAGGCAGUAGUGCCAGGGUCAUAGGGAGAGAUAAUUUUUAGGGAAACCAGAUGAAUAAGGGUUUAGGAAAGGAGGUGCCAGAAGAGAAUAUACCAACGUACCUCUCCCCAUAUUCUCUCUCUUUCUAUAUACAUAUAUAUCUAUGUACAUAACCUUCAAUUAUGGAAUCCCCCAUCAAUCAGAAAUAGUUUAGUAUCUACUCUUUAUUACUUUCACAAUGAGGAAUGGGAGAGAGUAAAUCGUCAAAGAUAAUCAAGUGACAUUUUGGAGUUUCAAAGUUCACCUUGCACUUCUGCUGGUAAAUGGAAUUAUGGCCACUAAUUAAGAAUAGAGUGUGAUACUAACCUGAUUAGGGACUUGGUCCCCACAUGAUGGUCUGAGUACAUUAGGUACACAAUAUUUGAGUUAUUAUACCCUCUCCCUAUCCUUUCUUUCCUUCCAUGGGUGUACAUCUGUAAAAGAUAUGAGACUGAGUUAGACAUAGAUAAGAUCAUCUAACCUGGAUACCUACUUACCAAGUCAUAGACUAUUGAUAGGAUAAAGAAGAUCAGCAUGCAUUCAACUUGUUCUUAUCAACCCUAAUCUUGACCUAUUUUUUUCAAAAGGUUCUUUUUCAAGUGCCUUGGUAAAGAUGUCAUCAAUAUGAUCUUCAUUCCUACAAAACACCAUCUUGAUCAAGCUAUUUUCCAUGUUAUCUCUUAGAAAGUGAUGUCUGACAUUAAUAUGUUUUGUUCUUUUAAGCUGAACUGGAUUCUUUGUCAUAUUGACAACACUUGUGUUGUCACAAUAUAAGGGUAAUAAUAUGAGAGAAUGCCAAAGUCAUCAAGUUGCUACUUGAUCCACAAUAGUUGAGCACAAUAUAAUGCAACUUUAAUAUAUUCAUAUUCAGCAAUAGAGAGUGCCACUGCAUUUUGCUUCUUGGUAGCCUAAUAGAUCAAAGAUGAUCCAAGAAAAUGAUCCAUUCCUGAGGUGAUUUUUCUAUCAAUUAGGUACCCAGCAUAAUCGGUAUCAGCAUAUCCAACUAGGUCAAAAUAUCACCAGCAGGAUAGAAGAGAACCAGGUUAGAGGUCCUUUUAAGAUAUCUCAAAAUCCUCUUGGCAGCCCUUAAGUGAGAUUUCUUUGGACUUGCUUGAAAUAUAACACAUAUCCUAACACUAACACUAACACAAUGUCAGGUUUUCUAGCUUUUAGGUAUAGAAAUGAUCCAAUGAUCCCUCUAUAUAGUUUUAUUGACAGAGGGACCGGUUUGAUCUAAGUCCUGUUUAGAGAAAGUGCCAAUGGGCGUGUCAAUAGGUUUUGUAUCUACCGUAUGGAACUUUUGAGCAAUUCCUGUAUGUACUUUUAUUGGCAUACAAUAGUUCCAGCUGCACUCUACUUAGUUUGCAACCCAAGAAAGAAAUUGAGUUCUCCCAUCAUACUCAUCUCAAACUCACUACUCAUCAACCUGGCAAAUUUAUCACAAAGGGAGCGAGUUGUAGCUCCAAAAAUGAUAUCAUCCACAUUAAAUUGGAAAAUGAGCAGAUUUCUUCCUCUAGCCUUUAAGAAUAGAGUAUUUUCAAUUUCCCACCUUUGAACCCAUUGUUAAGCAAAACUUGGAUAGUUUUUCAUUACUUCAAUCCAUACAGGGCCUUAUCCAGUUUGAACACAUGAUUAGGGAAUACAACAUUUUCAAAAUGUAGAGGCUUUUUCACAAACACCUCUUCUUUUAGUAAACCAUUCAACAUGGCAUACUUUACAUUCAUCUGAAACGGUUUGAGCUUCAUAUAGGAAGCAAAGGCAAUUAGAAUUCUAAUUACCUCUAUUUUGUCUACUGGAGAAAAUAUUUCAUCAUAAAUCUAUCCUUUCUUCGUGGUUAUAUCCUUUUACAACAUGCCUAGAUUUGUUCCUGAUGGUGUUGUCAUGCUUAUCUGCCUUAUUUCUGUACACCCACUUGGUCUCUAUGACAAUUCAGUUUUAUCUGAGGGUCGUGGGACCAGGUACCAAACUUUACUUCUUUCAAACUGAUGAAGCUCUUCCUAUAUAGCAUUGAUCUAAUAUACAUCCUUCAGUGCUUUCUUUAUAUUCUUGGGUUCAAUCUAUGAUAAAAAUGCUGAUAAAGCACAAAGGUUCUUAGCUCUAUUCCUAGUCUGCAUGACUGAGUUCAGAGGAGACAAUAAAUUAUCAAGAAAAUAUGAAGACUAAUGCUUCUAACUAGAUCUGAGGGGAGUGGGAUGACUUGCAUUGGGACUAGUUCCCAUUGAGGUGUUACCCUUGGGAGACUGAUCAUUUCCUUCACUGGAUGGAGGGUUAAGAUUUGAAAAAGGGGGCUUAUGAAGUGUCAUGAUUUUUUGGAUCUGCUGCAACUUCAUCUUUAGGUCCUAAUUCAGGUCCAUGUGAGUCAACAUCAUCAUUACUUUUAAGAUCCUUCUUGCCAUUGUUCAGUAUAAAACAUUCGCAAAUAUAUGGUUUGAAGUAGGUCAGCUUUGGUUUCCAUUUGGUCAAAAGUUCAUGGGGAGUAUUAUUUAGAAUAAACCUCACAAGACACAUGCUGUCCUCUUCACAUCUCUCAAAGUUUAUAUUUAGACAUUCCUUAUCUCUAGUGAGAUCAUCGACAAUAUCAAUUAGUACAGUAGCAAGAGAGUUCAGUUCUUUAAGAGAAUAAUUUUUGAGGUUUUCUUUGAUGUCUAAAAGUGCUACCUUAUCAUCUUCUUCCUCAUCUGAGUCUUCCAUUAAAGCAAAGAGUGAGUCAUACACUUGACUAUCAUCCUCCACCACCAUCAUGGAGACAUCUUCAGGCUGCUCAGACUCAUUAGUAUCAUAAGUAUCAUAGAGAGAAUCACCCAGAGCAGCUAUAGAUUGCAUUGCCACUCUAUCAGCUUUAACUUUUUUGUUGUAUUUUACUUUAACUUGUUUCCUGUCUCUCUCUUUCUCAUUGUUCUGCUUGAUAUAAUCAUUAAAUUAUAAUCUAUGCAAGGGGCAAUCCUUAAUGUACUUACCAGGCUUCCUGCAUUUGUGACAUUUAACAUUCCCCUUUCCAUUUGUGACAUAUCUGUUGGAUUCACCUUUUCUGGGAAAUGCUCCUAACUUUUUCCAUGACUUGAUGACUCUCUUGGCAAUGUAAGCAAUUUUCUUAUCUUUUUGGGGUUUCUUUAGUGACCUUUAUCUUCUUGGGGUUUCUUUAGUGACCUUUAGAACCUUUAAGCUUGAAAGAGAAAAUCCUAUGUUGAUUGCCUCCUCUUGUAUUUUAGAAAGAUGAACUGGGGAUUUAAGAGAGUUAAAACAUUAAUAAUGACCCUAAUUUCAUCUAUAGAUGUUUAGGACGGUUAUGGGACAUGAAAGGACCGUAUUGCCUUUAAAUAACACUAAAACAGAGCUUUUAUGCCUUUUUACCAUGGUGGGCGACGCAUAGUCCAUAGCACAAGCCAAGCUGGGCGAUACACAGCCCAUGGAAUAGCCUUAGUGGGCGUCGCAUGCCCCAUCGCAUAGUCUGGACAGUGUCUCAUUUAAAUACUUAUAACUUUUGACUCCGAACUCGGAUUGAUGAACGGUCGGUGGUGUUGGAAAAAAGAUUCGAACGGCUUUAAUUUGAUAUAUAGUAGGCCCUCUAACAAGUCAUAUUAUAGGAGUAAUAGUCGAUGGAAGUUGACCCAAGUUGAAACAUUCACUAAAAUUUAAUCUAUAGAAAUGUUUUCAACUCGUCUUAGAGUUCGGGGAUUUUUGUGACCUCAACUCAUAUUCAAAGGUAUUCCAACACUAUAGUAUUGAUCACCCUACAUAUAGUAUCAUAAAAUAAUUUAGUUCGGGUCUAUACACAUAGAAACAACAUUUUAAAUUCUAGCCCGAAUGUGUGGGGUGUUACAUUAUCUCCCCCUUAGGAUCAUUCGUCCCUGAAUGAUGGGUAGGGACUUGUUGAAUCUCUAAAAGAAUGGAAUAAGAACGUGACCUCGCAUUGAAUAUUUUUCAUCAACAAAAUAUUCAAAGGUAUCAAAAGAGCUUCACGAUAACCCAUUGUGAAAUAUGUAAGCACGAAAAAUGAGACAAUGAAAAUUGACCUAGAGAUGACCUUGCACAAAAGUUCUAAGGAUCAUAACCAUUACAACAUAGGGCAUGAGUUUAUUUGGUGAUCAUGGGACUGAUUUACAUCUGUACUAAUCAUGACAUAAGGUUUUGGGGAAAUAGGAAUAGAAACAUUCUCUACCUUACAAGAUACAACGAAUACACUUAAACUUAGAGACACUACUCAUCUAUGCUCCAAACAAUAAUUAACAUAUUACAUAAUCUCCAACUUAAAAUUUCUCAUCACACAUCUAACCAUAAGAAUUUGUGUCCCACUACAUAGUGUUUUUGUGUUGAAGCCUAACUCAAAAUAACAAGGUGCUAAUUUAAGAUACAAGGCCCUAUACUCUACAUCACAUUAAGAAAUCACCUCGCCUCAUCACUAUAAUUCAACAACCUCAAGUCUUAAUCCAAGGAGUACUAACCAAAUGGCAAAUUGGUUUGUAUUUUCAUCAAUCAAAACAUUCAAGCCUAUCAUUACUACUCUUACCUCUUGGAUCUCCUAAUUAAGACAAGAAAAUUCUAUCACUCUCACAAAGAUUUUUGCCACAUAUCUCUUUCCCAACUAUUUCCCUUAACGGAAGUUCAUCUCCUUCUUUUCCCUUUCACCUAUAGUCUUAGCUAGAGAAUAACAUCAAAAUUUUCACCUUCAAGAGAAUCUACUCCCCCACCUAACACACUACUAUGAUUCUACAACCACCAUUACACUAAUAUAUGGAGGGUCAUUGAGAGACCCGAGUAUAAAAGUCAUGAAUGGAAGUAACACUAUUAGACCAUAACUUACACUUAUUGUACUACUUAAGGAGGGACAUGAAAUGAAGAUAUGAUAGAAUAGACACGAAGUGCUUCAUCUAUCAAGUGUUUGGAUCAUAAGUAAAGAGUCAUUUGUCAUAAUACAACACAACAUGAUUUCUUAGGACAUACUAUAUUGAGAAACAUGGGGGCACAUAGCAUGAGCAAUUUAGCAUAAAGCCAAAGUUUUUGUAGUUAACAGCUAAGACAAGGAUUGCCACUUGAAGAGAUUGAUACUCAUUUAAAGAACUAAAAUUUUCCAUGAGUUAGAAUAAAUUUUAUCACUUUGGCUAAUCCCGACGUAAAAUGAACCGGUAACGUAUAAAAAGCAUAGUUUGUUUAGAACCAAACAUUAUGUGAGACAUGAAUUUUUAUAGAUCAUGAGCAACAUAAAAUAUACCUUGGAUAAAUGGAAUAUUGGAUCACUGAGAGACAUUAUUGCUUCUAGUUUAGAAGUCGGGACAUGAGUUACAUAGAGAGUUGAAACCUUAGACAUAGGUAGGACUUGAAUACAUAAGACAUUGGUUGAUUGACCUCUUAAAUUGAAGUAGGAGGAAUAAAUUUAAAUAGGAAUUGAUUUAUCCGAACUCUUUCUUAAAAUUUUCCACCAUGAGAAAAUUCGAGAACUGCCUUAACUCAUCAUCUCCCCUUAGAUCAAAGUCAUAAAUCCUAAACUUAAGGACAUACCUUCUCAUUAAAUCUACAAACACAACUCAAUCCAAUGGGGUAUCGCCAUACACAUAAAUGCUAAACUUUCUCUCUUUAACUAUACUCUAAAGGCAUUGGUUUCGAAGAACGCUACUCUUAAUUUUUCUCUAUCCUCUACAACCAUCAACCUACAACUCAUAGUGUCAUGAGCAUACACAUCCCCACUCCUUAACACAUACCAAUCCACUCUUUACUACUUAACAUUCUAAUAUUAGACCACUAAUCGCAUAACUUACAACAAAAUAAAACCUGUAAAACUAUACCAAAGGAGCAUAUUUCCUACCUAUAUUUUCUCAAUUCAACUCUACAUAAUGCUAUACAAUAACUCUCUGACUUUUCCAUACUACAAGAUUCGAGAAUGAAAUCAAGGUACAUAUGAGACUUAUACACAUCAAACCUUAUCAAACAACAUGCUACCUCUGGGUUCAACUUAUCAUUAUAUACCUACACCCUUAUCCACUUAAUGACUCAACUACAAUCCAUCAUUUUUUAUACUAGUCCUCAUGUACCUAAAUAACACAAUUAUCCUCUCUUUUUACACAAGUUAGCAACCUAAGCUAUUUCAUACCUCACAUCAAGCCUACUAAUUUAUUCCCACAAAACAUGCACAAUUAACCUUAAGCUACUAUUCUCACCCCCACAAUCCACAUCUCAAGUUUAAGCCUAUUGUCUAACAACACCAAUCAUAUGAAGCAUGUCACAUACUAUACUAAUCAAUCGAAUAGAAAUAUCAACCUAAGUCUCUUAUUUCACUUAACUAUGACCUAUAAGUUCAUCCUCUCCCUGACAUUACUACUACACCUCAAAAUCUACUGCAUACCUUCUCACAUGCAGUACUAGUUUACAAUGACAAGAAAAAAGACAAUCAAGGGGGUAAAGUCACAUAAUAGGGAUGGGCGAUCUGAAUCUUAUAAUGUAACCCAUUACCAUCUAUUAACAUAUUCUACUUCUUCACAUCAUAUUUACUUACCCAGGUAUAAAUCACAACUACCUUCCAAAUACCAUAUACAACAAUGCAUCUAUACUUACCACUUAUUGACCAAUCUAUCCCUUUCCAUUCACAACCUAUAAAUAAUUUCUACAACCACCAUAUCUUGGNNNNNNNNNNNNNNNNNNNNNNNNNNNNNNNNNNNNNNNNNCACAUACUACUAUACCAUUAAAAAUAUUGAUACCGUAUUAGUCUAUCGCUAUAAACUGGCAACCUACUCCUUAAUCCACAAUUAUACAACUAAACUAACUUCUUUACGCAAGGCCCCCCUCAUUCUAACUUCUAAGUUUGUGACUUCAUAUCUCUAACUUCUAAGUUUGUGACUUCAUAUCACUAACUUCUGGGACAUUUUACAGCUCAUAGGUUAUGACACUUAUCACAUACUACUAUUUGGGUGGAAAUAAUGUUCCAACAUUCUACCAUACGUAUUACCCUUAAGCACAAUAUCUGUAACAAAGGUUUUAGAAAAUAAUGAAAUACAAUUCAUACCACAGGAUCAACCGCAUGAUUGAUGAAGGUAAGGGUAUAAUCUUACAUCAAUUCCCCUUAAAGAACUCAUAGACUCCUCUCAAGUCCUUGUGCAAUUUCAUAAUUGUUUAUGACUCAAUUAGAAAGGACUACCUCAUUUAGACUCUAAGAUUCCGCACUUGAACCGACUCGACAAUGAGACAUAGUUAAUAAAGUCAGAGUAAAGAAAAAAUUUGGAUAACUUCCAAAUGGACAACACGAUAGAACGAUCUAGAACAUGAAGAAAAGUGAAACAUUUCUAAAUGCCUAGUAGCCUCCUACUUAUAAGUGUGGUGCGCUACACACCCAUAAAUGAGACUCUACUCGCCGUAAUUUCAUAGACACCCUGGGACCAUAAACCAUGCUCUGAUACCAAGUUUGUCACGACCCCAAGCUGGGGCCCUGGCAUUAAUGAGCAUUUCAAACCAUGAAGGCUCGAAUGACCCUUUCUUCUGGUAAUCAUGCAUAACAUUCGUACAAUAUAAAGAAUUUGUGGAAAAACAUAAUAAAAUAGAACCAUGGUAAAUCUCAAAACACUUGAAAAUUUUGGAAGGAAAUUCUUAAUAUUCAAAACAUAUGACAUCCAUCUGUGAAAUCUCUAAAAAUACCAAGGACCAAUAUUUGUCUGAAAGCUGGGACAAGGACACCAGUCGGACCAUAACCAAAGAAAAUAACAAUGUCUCAUAAAAUAGGCCUUUCAAAAUAAGAGAGGCUCACCAACUGCCAGCUUCGGACAAAUUGAUCUACUGCUCAACGGGAUCCCGGGACAGUGCCUCAGAUCCUGAAAUAUAAGGAGGUCAAUACAAUUGUACUGGUAUAUGAAACAACCCAAAAAUAGCAUGCUUUUUAUACAAAAUAAAUGAGAGCAUUUCAUAAUAACCAUGAAAAUAAUGCAAGUAAGAAUACAUGGGAAUAUUUUAGUGAACUUCAAAACAACUCUUGACAACUUUGACUUACUCUUUGUUAUUCUUCUGAGCUAGUUGGUGCAUCCUACAAAUCUGUAAUUCCACGGGCUAUGUGGAACCCGCCCUUGACUCGGCGGCCAAGUCUCUAAUACAAGUAGCCACCAGGAUUGGAGUGGUGAUACCCCUCAUGUGAGCACACCGCAGGAAAUCCCCCCAUGUAAGAUGUUUGAAAUUUUUUUUCAUGUAGGAUAAUAUAUCAUAAGCCCCACAUCGGCAACUACGAUUUCUAGCGAUGAGUCCUUACACUCAAAUGCCUUCUUCGGGUAAUCAAAUAGCUCUCUUAAUCCCAAUUUUUAGUUCUUUAAAGUUAUGCUUCAUACUUUUAAAACAGCCAAUACUUACUUUAUUAAGGGCAUGUCAUCACUGGGUAUCGUCAUAACCUGAUUUGCAAAUUAAUCAAUUCACAUCAUAUCAUAUCUAUAGCCCCUUUUAACUUAUUAUCAUGUUAAUGACCACCUUUAGUGUUAAAAACAUCAAGUGAGAGAGAGUUAUGCAAUAAAUUUUUAUUUGAGUUUACAUCAAAACACUCUUCUCUCGAUUGUACAAUCAUAAAGUGGCCAUAUCAUAUUUGCAUUUCUCAAAACCCAUGGAAAUUAUUGAUUUGACAAAAUGAAAGUUUAUCAUGUGAAAACACCCUCUCAACAUAUCAUAAAAAGUAUCAACCCAUGAUCAUUAAAAAAGCAUUCACCCUUUAGUUUUUUUUUUAGAAAGUUUAUGCCUUUAAACAACCCAUAACACUUGAAAUCAAAAAUAUCAUGAUGGGAGAGGGAUUUUUUAUCAUUCAUGCUCUCAAUCAAAUUUUUUAUUGCAACCAAAAAAUAGAUAUAUAGUUAUAUUCAAAUUUCAUAAGAAAUGGUUCAAGACAACAUAUAAUUUCUUUAAAACAAUUUCAAGAUACAUACUUUUCAAGACAAUUUCAAAACCCUUCUUUAGAAACAUGAUUGGGGAUCUUUAGUCUUGAUAAAAACAGUAAAACUUAUGCCUAUGGAGUUUAGGGUAGUCCCACAUACCUUAAUUUAUGAAGAAUUCAUGAAAAGAUCAAACCUUUAAGCUUGAAAGAGCAAACCCUAAGUUGAUUACCUCCUCUUGUGUUUUAGAAUGAUGAACCGGGUAUUUAAGAGAUUUAAAACGUUAAUAAUGACCCUAAUUUCAUCUAUAGAUAUUUAGGGAUGGUUAUGGGAUGUGAAAGGACCGUAUUGCCCUUAUAUAAUAAUAAAAAAAGUUUUACACUGUUUUUCCCAAGGUGGGAGAUGCAAAGUCCAUGGCACAAGACAAGCUGGGCGGCGCACAACCCAUGGCAUAUCUAGAUAUUUCUUCAACAUGAUUAUCUAAGAAAUUACACUAGACUAUUCUAGAGACUUAACUAGAAAUCUAUGAUUCCAAAAAAUCUACUUUAAUAUUUUCACACUCUCCCUUAAAGUGAUUUUUUGGAAGCUACCCUAAACUUGUCGCGGAAGAACUCAAGUGAAGCUUUGAACUGUGCCUUAGUGAAAAUCUUAAUAGUUUUUGCAUGACUCCUCUUUCUUUUUCAAGUGAUGAAGAUUUCUUAUUAAUGAAUGUCCCUUGUUGAGUUUUAUCAUGUUGAGUUCUCGAGCUCCCUCUUUCCUGAACUCCUCCACAACUUCAUUAUCUGGUGACUCAAAUAUGAUGGAAAAGUUUGAAGCUCUAGGAUGGAAGAUUUUACAAAUUUCUCUUUCUGAAGAAACUCCAUAACACUAGGAUCUUUUUUUGGUAUCAGUCUCCUCAUUUGAUUUGAUGAUGAUCUUUUGUUCGGGCCUAUCAACCAACUCCCAAGUAUCUUUUUUAUUAAUUAUGGCAAGCUCCUCCUUCAUUGCAGAAAUCCAAGCUUUAUGAGCUACUGUUCCUUCAAAGGAAAAUGGUUCCACAAGAGAAAAAUUGCAUUAUUCAUAAACUUCAGCUAGUGACCUGGUCUUCAAAACUGGAGAAUCAGUUAUCAAUUUAACAUCUAAAUAGUUUUCUUCUCCAGCAAUAGGACUGGAAGAAUUAUCACUCAUCUGCGGAUUUAGAGCUGGAACUGAAGUACUUCUUUCUUGGUUCAUUACAACAAUAUCUCAAUCCCAAUCAUAGUGGCUAGACUCGCCCACCACAAGAUCUCUACUGAUAAGCAACUUCUUUGUACUAACAUUAUACACUUUGUACCUUUUUACAGUUGUGCUAUAUCCUAACAAAAUACAAAGUUCUACCUUGUUAUCCAAUUUACCUCUUUUAGCAUCAGGAAUAUGUGCAUAGUAAACUAAACUAAAGACUUUUAAGUGUCUCGCAGACGACUUUCUACCUUUCCAUGCUUCAAAUGGUGUCAAGUCUUAGAGUGCUCUAGUUAGUAAUCUGUUUAGCAAAUAGACUGCAGUAUUGACUGCCUCAGCCCAAAAACAUUUGUGUAUCUUUUUUUCUGCUAGCAUAUAUGUGGCCAUCUCCAUCGCGAUUUUGUUCUUUCUCUUAGAAACCUUAUUUUGUUCUGGAGUGUAGCUCACAGUAAAUUGUUGUUGAAUGCCUAUAUCUUUACAAUACUUGCUGAGCUGAUGCGAAGUAUAUUCAGUUCCAUUAUCUGACCUGAUAUACUUCAACUGGAAGCCACUCUCUCUUUCUACCAUAGCCUUAAAUUCUUUAAAAACUGAAAACACCUAAACUUUGCUACUUAAAAAGUAGAUCCAUGUUAUUCGAGUUAGAUCAUCUAUAAAGAGAAUAAAAUAUUUAUUUCCACUCAAAGAAGCCGUCCUCAUUGGUCCACAUAUAUCUGAAUGAACCAAAUCUAGCUUUUCUUUCGCCCUCCAAAGGCUUUCUUUAGGAAAGGAUCAUCUAUGCAAUUUACCAAAUUGACAUGACUUACAAACAUCUCGACAUAUGUCAAUUUUGGGCACAUCAAGCACCAUACCCUUGGAUUGCAUAUACACCAAUGAACUACGAUUGUAAUGACCAAAUCUUUUGUGCCAAAGCCAAGUAUCACUCAUUUCAAUAUUGAAAGAGCAACUUUCAUCAGAAUAGCAUGAAAUUGGAAAGGAAUUUCCAAUCAUGCUAAUUUUAGAUACUUCACAACCUUUAGGAUCAUAAAUGACACAUUUUUUAUCCUUAAAAAGAAGUGAAUAAUUAUUGUGAAGCAACUGAGCAACACUCAACAAGUUUUGAGUCAGGUUUGGCACAUAAAGAACAUCGCUUAUGAUUUUCGUUCCUUUGUCCGUAGGGAAUUUCACUGAUCCUUUUCCUUGAGCUUACACCAUUUCACCAUCUCCAAGCUUCACUGAUCCUUUUCCUUGACCUUGUGCAUGCACUAUCGCUAUACCAAUUAUAUCGAUAAAAAUAGGAUGUGUGCGAGAAGACUGACCACUUUGAAUUUGCUUUUGCCUGCAAUACUUCUCAAUAUGCCCAUACUUCUUGCAAUAUCUACAUUGAAUAGGAGAACUCUUGGACUUCUGCCAACAAUUCUUCUCCAAGUGGUUUGUCUUCUUACAAAUACCAUAAAGUGGAAAUUUUCCUCUCCUCGACGAUUCACCUUGGUAUCCACCAGAUUUCACCUCUAGAGUGGUCUAAAGAGACUUUUUUUCCCUACCUUUUAUUGUUUGAAUUUAUUGCUUCCUUGAAAGGCAUCUUUGACUGUCCGUUCGCUUCUCAUGGUUACUCGUUGACCUUGGAUUUGCAACUUAGAGAUCAUCUCUGCUAUUGAAAAAGUAUUCAAGUCACAAGACUUUUCAAUAGCUAAGAUUUUUCAAACUUGUCCGAAAGGCUGACCAAGAUCUUUUGUACAACUUUCUUAUCUGGAAAGUUUUCACUAAGUAUCCUGUUGGAAUUUGCUUUAAGUUACCGCACUAGUUUUUUAGUAAAAUAAAUUAUUUAGAUUAGAAUAAAUUUGAAUUUUGGAUUUUAACUAGGUUGUUAGUUUGUUUAGUUAGUUGAGAUAUUUUAGGUUAUUUUGAAUUUUGAAUUUAUGCUGAUUUUCUUUGUAAGUUGACUAUUUAAAGCCCUUCUAUACUUAAGAAAAACUAUUGAAAGUAUUAAAAGCUUAUUGAAAGCUAUUGAAAGUUAUUCAAUCCAUUGAGAACCAUUUUAACCUUUUCUGCUGCCCCAUCUUUUUUUUUUUGAAAAAAAUAGCAUAUCCUAAUUUGGUUUACAAUAUCCAUCAGCUUGGAAGAGUAUUCUUUCAUACUAUCCGAAUCCUUCAUCUUCAAGAGCUCAAACUCUCUUAAAAGUUAAGACCUUAACAAACUUAACUCUGUUUCUACCUUCAAACUUCUCCUUUACCUUAUUCUAGGCUUCUUUGGCUGUCUCAUAAGCCAUAAUCCUUGUAAACAUCACUUUUGUAAGACUUGAAUAUAUGCAAGUGAGAGCUCUUGGAGAUCUAGUCACCAACUCAUCAUACUUUUUUACAUCAUUGAGAGUUGGUUGUCUCUCGAUGGCUGGACAACAGGUUCUCCUCUCUCAACUACGUCCCACAAGUUGAGAGCCUUCAAAUAAUCCUUCAUUUUAAUGGCCCAAAUAUGAUAAUUCUCGCCAAAAAAAUUGAAGGACCGGUCGUUCAUUGAUUUUCUAGUCCCAUAUUUUCUAGCAAACAGAUCCAAGAAAAGAGCUUAAAAAAGAUGAGUCAAUCAACAAAAACAAAUUCAGAUCCCGUAAGAAAUAGUCUCUUAUACUAUGUCAAAAGAAGGGGGAAGAGGGAUUGAAAAUCAACAAGUUGAAAUAGUGAAAAUUAUGCAGCUGUAAAUUGCUACAAAAAAGACUUCAGUGAAGAAGAAGAAGCUGAAACUUUUUGAGUAUUUUCUAUUUUGUGGAUGGUUGCAAAUUUCUAAUGUCAUCCCUUAUUUAUACUUAUGUAGGCAUGAUUCUAGAUACUACAAAUCUAGAGUGUUCUAUACAAAUAUCUCCCUCAAAUAUCUAGCACCUUCUAAUAUCUAGAUCUUUCCUAAAUAUCAAUAUCAAAUAGACUACACUAUGUCAUUCUAGAUUCUACUACCUAGAAUUACCUAGAUAUAUAGAUAUUUCUUCAACAAGAUUAUCAUAGAAAUUUCGCUAGACUAUUCUAGAGACUUAACUAGAAAUCUAUGAUUCCAAAAAAUCUACUUUAAUAUUUUCACAGCACCUUCUCCAUCUGUUGGUUGGUACUUCUUAUUUUUCUUUAUCUCAUAUCAUCCAUCAUCGUAAUGCUUGGAUGGUAAGGCACCUUCAACAGUUCCUUCCUACAUUAUAACACGUUGUUGCUCUUCUGUAAUUUUGGCUAGGUUCUUAGUAUUUUCUAAGGUUUUAAUGAUAACCUCAAAUCAUUCAAGUACAGUUACAAGGAUUUUCUCAACGAUUCUUGAAUCGUUAAAAGUGGAACCCAACAAUCUGAUGUGAUUUUCUAUGUUAAGAAGUCGGUCAGGGUACUCUUUUAUGGUUUCACGUUUCUUCAUACUUUGUAGCUCAAACUCACGUUCCAAAUUCAACACAUGCAUCACUCGAAUCCUUUCAUCUCCUUCAUACUCAGUCUUGAAAUAACCCUAUACCUCUUUUGCUGAGUUCAAAGACAUGAUACAAGUGAAGACAUUAGAUGAAACUGCAGUAAAUAAGCAUGCCUUUGCCUUUGAUUUCCUGGUUUUCCUCUCUUUGUGAGUUUUAAUCUGCGUCACCUAUGAGUGUUUGGCAAGGGAGAAAUCUUAUAUUCAUCUUCGACAACCUCACAGUGAUCCAAAGCUUCCAGAUAUAUCUGCAUUCUAACUGCCCAGAGUUGAUAACUUUCUCCAUAGAAAGUUGGUGGUGGCAUUGAAGAAAAACUUGCUUCUCCUUUCUUGGCAUUCGCUGAAUCUGACAGGUCCCUGAAGAUUAAAGCCCUAGCCCUGAUACCAUGGUUUUAAAACCAUUAAGGGAAAUAACGUAACAAGGAAAGUAAAAAAAAUUAGGGGCUGAAACAGAGAUAGAGUAAAAGAAGAGUAGACACAAAGAUGUUUUUCUUUUUUUCUAGCUAAAGUAGCCGACCUUUUGAUGAUCACCUCCUAACUUAAAUAGUCGCUAUUACAACUGAAAGUAGGUCAAAACUUACCAUAAUUAGUCCUAUUGAUAUUCUAAAAAAUAAACCAACUAACAGUUUUAUAAACAAAAAUAGGAAUCUCAAUUUGACUAGGAGUCAUAUGUAAAAAGACCGGAGAAAAAAGAAAAGACAAGUAAGUUGCAUUAUUCCUUAAAGCAACUUUUAAAAACAUUAUUCUGCUUUUUUGGUACCAAGUUUCAGAUUUUGACUUUGUUGUAUGAUUAACAUGGAAAGACAUAUUUUUGGUGUUAAAGUACUUCAUAUGUUAAUUAUAACUAUUCCUGCGAUCAUGUCUUUCUACAGAUGUAUACCCUACCGAUAUCAAAUAUUUCACCACGUUAUCAUUGGUAUAUGAGAAUGCCUUAUAAGUUCUUCUAAUAAGUUCACAAAGUUAAGUGUUAUUUCCAUAGGUAAACGAACGGCCAUAAUGAGCAAUUUGGAGUCAUCAUAUAACUCUUUGGCCUGUAGGAAGUGGUUCUAACAUGUUUUAUUCCGGUUUUGGAUUACUUAACAGAGCAAAGAUGGUACUUUGAGAACAGAAAUGGUGACAGCCUAUGAUUUUGAUUACGUAUGAAGAGCAUGUGUUUCCUCUGUGUAUAACAAAACAACUAGACUAUUGGCCUGAGAAAGACAUUCGCGGGAGAACUUGGUAUGCAAUAGCCCUUUCUUUUUAAAUUUCAUUUUGAAAUAUAUAUACAUCUUUCUUUUGCUGACAUGUAGCUUGUUAAAAAUUUCUAUUUCAGAUGAAGGUACCAGAAGCAAGAAAACUCUGCCAAAACAGGUGGAUGAAAGAAGCAUUGGAAAAACUAGUAAGUUCCCUGCAUCACAAAGCAAAUGGACCAAGGGGAACUAUUUCCAAGAAUCAAAUGUACCUCCAGUGGUAGAGUAAUUAUUCUUCCAUUGGGAUGUAGAUAUGAAGCAGUGGAUGAACAAUCUGGCUCACGGUUAAAGUAGUUCAGAGUACUGAUGUUGGAAAAGCAGGGAAUUGUCUACCUUUUUUAUAUCUAACUUUUUUUUUUUAAUCUUGGUGAAGGGAUACAUCCCACUAAAUUGAUGCAUGAACCUAUAGGUUCAAGUCAAACCAUCAUGGUUAGUAAAAUGCCUCCUUGUUUGAACCAUCUGACUUAAUUAAAAAUAUCUAUGGCAACCCCUUGUCAUCAAUCAGAUAAUGUUGUGCUUUAGUAAGUUGUGAAUAGAAAAAAUUAAGAAAUGAUCCCUUCUGUAUGAUGGAGGUUCAAAACAGUCCAUUAAGUAUGCACUUAACAAUUUUGAUCCUUCAAGUUUGUAGUGUAGAUCCAAUCAUCUUGAGCUCGAAUCUCUUCACCGUUCCAGAAAUAUUUCAAAUUGUCGUGUCCACUUCAUACGGUCGUUUGGUUAACGGUGAUCGUCGUGGCAUUGACCAGCUGCUGGCAUGGCUCCCUGUGUUUGGCUAUAGUCCUGUGAUAGUGGAAAUACUUGAUUUUCUCUUCCAUCUUGUGGGUCGUCUUGCCCACCAUAUUCCGUGGUAUGUGCGUGUUAGAGUGGGUAAAAAGUACCACAUUAGUUGGGGAAUGGAUUGCUGGUUUGCUUAUAUGGACUUGGACAAUCCUCCCUCAUGAGCUAUCUUUUGAGGUUGAGUUAGGCUCAAGAUCCAUUCUUGACAUGGUAUCAGAGCCAGGUCCGUCUCCAUUUUGUUCUCCCGGUCCACGCGCCAGUGCCAAUUGGGCCUGAGCGUGAGAGGGGGUGUUAGAGUGGGUACGCGCCAGUGCCAAUUGGGUAAAAAGUUCUGCGGGAAAUGGCUUGGACAAUCUAGCUUGAAUUCGUCUUAAAUUGACUAGUUUUACAUUCAUUUAACCAUUCGAGCACAAUACAAAAGUAUUCAACUAAUCCAAAAAAAACUAAAGACGUCCUUAUUUGAUCAAUUGACGACUUAGCGUCCAAUUUAAGAAUUAAAAACAGUACACUGAUCAAUAAUCUAAGGUAUUAAUACUAUUUCUCACCAAUCAAUGCAAACUGACAAGGGCAAGCUCCAAAUCAAUAUUCAAAAUUAAUCACCCUAAAGUUAGUUCACUCCAAUGCACGUUUUGCUUUAACCAAACAUUGGAUUCUCACAAUGUUCUAAAGAAGCAUGGCUUCCACUUGGACCACACAAGAAUCAAGAGUCAAAAACAUUCUAACCCAAUACUAGUAAUUACUUAACUCUUCCCAUUUAUGGUUAUAAACCCACCUCUUCGUUGGACCAUACCACUACUUUUACAGAAUAAAUAAAACCAUACCACUGCUUUCAAUGAACAAAUAAAGUCAAGUUGUGUUGAUAAAAAAGAUACUGAACUUUUACUUUUUUUUUUCUUUGCAACUUCACCGACUUUUACUUUUAGCGGUCCUUUGUGUACAUAUUAUUGUGGAGUUGGGAGGGUGGAGAGGUGGGUCUUCUAUUACAUAUCAAAGAGAAAUUUCCUAAUACUACUUAAUGGAUGAAUAAUAGUCAGUGAAAAUGAACCAGUUGACUAGGUCCAAUACCAAUAAUUCAACUUUAUUGGAGUAGACCCUAUCUUCAUUGAAAAUUUUCUUAUUUGAAGUCCUAUAUAUAACUUUGUCCCAAACAUCAUCAAUUUUAUCUCGUAUCAUACAACCACAAUCUAUCCACACACUUCUUAUCGUUUUCUUCACAAAUUUUAACAACUUAACUGAAUUCAUGGCAUCAACUUCUUCUUCUGCGAGUAACUCACAGUACUGUCCUCAAUGGAAGUAUGAUAUCUUUUUAAGUUUUAGAGGUGAAGAUACUCGUAACACAAUUACAGGUUACUUGUACGAACGUUUGACAAGGAGGGGAAUAAUCACCUUUCAAGAUAAUAAAAGAAUAGAGCAUGGCGAUUCGAUCCCAGAAGAACUCUUGAAAGCUAUCAAAGAUUCUCAAGUUGCCCUUGUAAUUUUUUCAGAGAAUUUUGCUACAUCCAGAUGGUGCUUGGAUGAACUAGUGAACAUCAUGGAGUGCACAAAGGACGAAAAUGGAAAAACAGUAAUACCAGUCUUCUAUGGUGUGGAUGCAACAGAUGUUCGAAACCAAAGUAAAAACUUUGCUAAAGCAUUUGUCAAACACGAAUUAAAGUAUAAUGAUGAUGGUGAGGGGAUGCAGAAGGUGCAAAGAUGGAGGACUGCCCUAACUGCUGCCGCAAAUCUAAAAGGAUAUGUAUUCCCUAACGGGUGAGUUAAACACACACAUAUAUGUUAUUCGUGACUUUUUUGUUCCUAUAUAUUACCAAAUCAUUUUUUGUAGGGUUGAAUCAGACUGUAUUGAGCGUAUUGUGGAUGACAUUUCGUCCAAAUGCAAGACUUCAGGAUCUUAUUCGUACAAAGUUGUGGGAAUAGAUACUCAAUUAGAGAAAGUAGAAUCCCUAUUAAAGAUGGAAAUUGAUGAUGUUCGGAUAGUGUGGAUCUGGGGAAUGGGGGGACUUGGUAAAACAACAAUAGCAAAUGCUAUUUAUAAUAAACUCUCAUCCAGCAAAUUUAAAGAUGCCUGUUUCCUUGAGGAUAUUAAAGAAAACAAACAUAGAAUGUACUCUCUGCAAAAUAUCCUUCUCUCUAAACUGUUAGGGGAAAAAGAAAAUUGCGUGAAUAAUAAGGAGGGGAGGAGCAUGAUGGCUCGUAGACUUCGGUUUAAGAAGGUUUUAAUUGUGCUUGAUGACAUAGAUCAUAGAGACCAGUUGGAUUACCUAGCAGGGGAUCUUGGUUGGUUUGGCAAGGGAAGUAGGAUUAUUGCAACCACGAGGGACAAAUGCUUGAGAGGGGAAUAUGAUGUAGUAUAUGAAGUGGAAACAUUACUUGAUUGUGAUGCUCUUGAACUUUUCAAUCAAUAUGCUUUCAUGGAAAAAGUUCCAGAUGAGUGUUUUAAAGAUAUAACAUUGGAGAUAGUAAGUCAUGCUAAAGGCCAUCCUUUAGCCCUGAAAGUGUGUGGUUCUUCAUUACACGGGAAGGGUAUAAUUGUGUGGAGAAGUGCUUUAGACCUAAUGAAGAAAAACUCUAGUUCAGAAAUUAUUGAGAACCUCAAAAUAAGUUAUGACAGGUUGGAGCCUGACGAGCAAGAGAUAUUUCUGGAUAUAGCAUGUUUCUUCAGAGGAAAAGAAAAAAAAGAUGUCAUGCCAAUCCUUGAAAGUUGUGGUUUUCCAGCUGAAUAUGGAUUGAGUGUACUAAUCGACAAAUCUCUUGUGUUCAUCUCUGACCAUAAUAAAAUUCAAAUGCAUGACUUAAUACAAGAUAUGGGUAAAUAUAUAGUGAAAUUGCAAAAGGAUCAGGGCGAACGUAGCAGACUAUGGCUAGCCGAAGAUUUCGAAGAAGUGAUGGUCAACAAUACAGUAAGUAGGCUAAGCAAUGCAAUACUAUUCAAUUUCUAGUUUUCAUCUUCCAAAUUUGUCAUGACCCGAACCAGGGCCUGGCCGUGACGAGCAUUUCGAACCAUAGAGGCCCGAAACACCCCUAUCUGUCUGGUAAUCAUGCACCUAAUUCAUAUGAUCAAAGUAAUGCGGAAGAAACACAAUAAUUCGGAAACAUGGUCAUAAAUAUGAAAAGAAACAAUAACGGGGAGAUAAGGUUCCCUCAACAUCAAUUAACCUCUAAACAACUGUCUGUGAAAAUCUCAAACAAAUGACUAAGUCAAGUAACCGUAUAUAAACUGGGACAAGGCCCCCAGUAGACCCCCAAAACUGUAUAUAAGAUAAAAGGACAUAAGACCUUCCGAAAUAUAGAAGGCUCACCACUUGUCUCUGCAACUCUGUCUGAAUGAUCUACUAAUUCUCUUGACCCCUAGACUGGGCCUCUGAACCUUGUGAGGUUGGAGAGGGGAGGGGGUCAGCACAAAAGUACUGGCACGCAGAGAUAUCAAAACAAAAUAUAAUAUUUUUACAAAAUAUGGUUGAGAGCCAUUAUAAAGAAAUUUCGUAUCAAAUUAUUUGAAAUCACAUGGGCGUAAUGCAAUAGUUUUCUCAACAAUCAAUGAAAUGCAACUGAGCUAGGUGGAAUACCCUACAUAAUUUACACCAACUGUCAAACCUCGGUUGCCGCUGAGAUUAGAGUAUAAGUGAGGUAGAGACACACAAGACACAUAGCAUGGUGUCUGGACCCAAUGGUAGUGCCCAAGAUCACUUAGCCCGGGAUCCUACCUAUAGUCCCAAUUUGGGAAUGACAUGAAGUCAAGUACACAAGAUCACUUAGCCUGGUACCAANNNNNNNNNNNNNNNNNNNNNNNNNNNNNNNNNNNNNNNNNNNNNNNNNNNNNNNNNNNNNNNNNNNNNNNNNNNNNNNNNNNNNNNNNNNNNNNNNNNNNNNNNNNNNNNNNNNNNNNNNNNNNNNNNNNNNNNNNNNNNNNNNNNNNNNNNNNNNNNNNNNNNNNNNNNNNNNNNNNNNNNNNNNNNNNNNNNNNNNNNNNNNNNNNNNNNNNNNNNNNNNNNNNNNNNNNNNNNNNNNNNUCAAGAGAGGAAAUUUCAUAUCAUUCAUGCUCUCAAGUUAACAUCUUUUCGGAAUACAUGCAUAUACAUAUAUCAUUAGCAAAUCACUUUGGGAGUAGGCCUAAAGGCCAAAUCAAUAUCAUAAAACGUUUAAAACAUAAUCAUAUUCGUAAUUUCAAAACCUCAUUUGAAAACAUGAAUUUUUAAAGCCCAUGAGAUUUUUGAGAUAACCCCACGCACCUCUAUAUGCGAAUAUGAUAGGUUCUUCUUGAAGCCUACGUUGUGGAGAUUCCAAAUCUUCAAUUUGUUUUGAAAACCCAUGGUUGAAUCUUGAACUAUUUGGGUUUUUAUUUUGAAACCCUAGAGAGAGUUCUUGAACAAAUUGGAUGAAUGAAGGUGUAUUUUGGGGUCUUUGGGAACUGAAUUUCGUGUUUAUGGCUAAAUAAGGGUGGAAAAGGACCAUUUUGCCCCAAAAACGGAGUGUUUAAGUCACCUGAAACUUUUACAUAGGCGGUGCCUAUGCUAUCGCCUAUGUUUACAUCGGCGCCGCCUACUUCUUUGAAAGGCCAUAACUUCUUGCUCGGGUGUCGGAUUUUAGCAAAAUUGGUAUUGUUGAAAAGCUAAAUCGAACACCUAUCAUUUGACACAUAGUAGGCUCUGUAAUUCAACAUAUACAGAUAGUUAUGGUCAAUGGAAACUGACACAAAUUACAACGUCCACUAAAACUUAAUAGAUUGAAAAGUUUCAACUCGCCCUUGAGUUGAAGGACCUCUAUGGUCUAAAUUCAAGCUUGAAUGGAUUCACAUACUACACAAUUAAUUAACAUGUCAUAUUGGCAUAGGAUUUAUGGCUUCGAGAUUAUCAACGCAUCGAAAUCAUGGUUUUUAUUCUAGCCCAAAAUGCGGGGUGUUACAUUAUCUCCCUCUUGGGAUCAUUCGUCCUCGAAUGAUAGGUAAGAACAUAUUGAAGCUUAGAGGUAUGGAAUAACACGGACACGACAUGUCCUCUAAUAAAGAAUACACUGAUCUGAAACAUGACCAUUUGGCUGGAACUACUAAUGUUAUGAAUUCUUAUACCAAACAUGCAAAUUUGAUGCAUGGAAUACAUGACUGAAGCUAUUCAUAAGCUGAAUUCUCAUAAUGAACAAGCAUAUCUGAUGCAUGGAUCUGUGACUGAGUUGUUCUCAUGAACGAAGGACUAAAUAUACUGAUAAGCUAAACUUUUUCUAUUGAACAUGCAUUUUUAAUACAUGUAUAUCUGACUGAACUGACGUAUGAACGUAUGACUGAAUACGCAAUGGCAACUGGUGCGGAGCUUGUAAUAAGAAUCUAUGCAUGCAGUUGAAUGGGGUAUCUCCCCCUUGGGACCUUACGUCCCUCUAUGAAUGUUUAAUUCACUAAGAUACUCGAAAAACUGAGGCGAUGCACAGGGCACCUAUGAAUUGAAUCAUAACUGAACAUUUGGAAUCUGAAUUUAAUGCAUGAUGCAUGAACUGGGCUAUACUCGUAACUACUGGUAUACUCUAUCUUGGAAUAGUAGCAUGUCUGAGAUUUUGAGUAGCAUGAAUAAGUGCAAAGAUGAGAAAACAAGUCAUGCGAAUCUGACUGCUAAACUAACUUAUUGUUCAUACAGACUGAAUUAUACUACACCCUCAUACUUAACUGGAGUACUCUCUUCAAAACUUUCUCUAAGGAAGCUCUAGCAGUAAUAGGGAGCCAUGCAUCUUGGGUACGGAUUACACAAGACAUCCAACUGAGGAAAUCACAACAUUGACACUACUCUGCAUUCUAGAAUAUAGAAAUAUAACUCCUAAAUUAGGAUAGAAUUUUCAGACCUUUGGCAAUACAGCUUCUUACUUUCAGGCUUAGAGCACUUCCCGAAUAUCCCUUGACUUUACUAUUCCCUAUAACUACCAUAUUCAUUCAACUCAGCUUAAAAUUCUCAUAUGAGCAUUGACAAAUCUUUCUACUAAUGUCGGAAAUAACUUAAUCCCUUCGCCGUGAUCAAGCCUAACUCUAAGUCAUAAAACAAAAUACAACAUGCCAGACCACGCUAUUAUUCUAAACCAUAUGAUGCCACCUUCUAUAUCUCCUUUAAAGAUCACAUCCUAAGUAUAACAUGCCUUACCACUUCAAUGACUACUAUAUGAAGUCGUUAAUGCAUAUUGCGACCUUCCACUACAAUCCCAAAAUGUCAUUCUAGCCUAAUUUAUAACCAUAUGUUAACUUCAAGGCAACCACACAUAAAUACAUACUUCACAUAGUUUCUAAACUAUUGUCAAUAUAACUCCCACGCGCUACCCUAAGACAUAUACACACAAAAUUUUCCACUAAAUAUCACAUGUAUCAAAGACUUGGCCCCAAAUGUUACUUCAUACUUAUGGCCUUAUCUAAAGAAUCAUACUAUGAUCUUCCAUCAACAAGAACAUUUACAUCAUCACCACUAUCAUUUCACAGGAAGGGUCACUAAAAGGUUAAAACAUAAGACCCUCAAGCGUGAAAAGAUCUUUAUACAGGACUGAGCACACUAUAAAGAGUGAGUACAUGCGUCAUGAGUUGCAUGACCUCAACUAGAGUUCAUAACAUAAGGAAUAUGAUUUCAACUACUUGAAUGAACUGGAACUCAUUAUCUUGGAAUUGGAAGAGUAUGUGACUCUCUAUUAUAUACCGGAAUCAUGAACUAUUAUCACGAAACUAAAUCGUAAGGCAUGAGUAAGCUUCUGGAUAACAAAAAAAUACUGAGGUAGGAAUGGGUUGAGAUUCACCCUCACUUUCUAAUGUUCUAAAUCAUAUACUGCAUCACUACUAGAAUCUGAGAGCCUUACUUGGUUAUUCAUUCUAUCAUCUCCCCCUUAGCUUCAAGUCAUCAUCUAGAGUUCGGGAGAUCCCUUACCAUAUUCUAACUGAACUACACUUACUGUACUCUAGGGUCUGAAAGAAAAAAAUGACAAUACAUGCAUAUCGUAGACUUAAACCGAAUGACUACCUUCUGGGAUACACUCUAUCUUUCCAUAGCCACCAAUAGUCAUAGUAUAAUACUUGCACACUUAUUUAUAUCGGUUCAACCUUCAAAACUCAAACUUAGAUUCUAACACUUAAUAUGGCUAUUUAGAUCACCAUAUACCAUCUAACUAGUCUUUCUCCACUUAACAAUUCAAUGGAACCACUAGCCACACAAAUUAUGUAAUAGUCUUAGAAAAAAUAUGCCGCAACCUCAUAUCACCUUGGCAUACUUCUACACCAUACCUACAACAUUAUACUUCAUUACGAAUCAAUUUAAACUUAAGAUAUAUCAUACACCGUUCAAUCCUAUUAGAUCACUUUCAUAUAAAUAAUAUCAUUGAUCAAGAAAUCAUCACAUCCACCUUUAUGAACUUCAACUGUUCAAACUUAAUGUCUAGUGCUAUGUAUGAUUUACAACCCAACCUUACACAAAAUUUUCACUUGGAAACUAUAAAUAAACAUCACGAAACACUAGUGCACUAGAACUUCAUAACCACAAUAAUCGAUCAUGACCUAACGGUUUUCCUUAUCAUAAUCCGUUAGCAUGCACUAUUUCAGUACCUCAAGCCUACUACUUUAAUCCCACAACCAUACACCAUUAAUCUCAUGCCACUAUUCUUACAUCCACAUCCAAGCCUAUAGUUUAGUAUCAAUCAUCUACCACCAAUGAAGAAUGCAACAUAAUAUAAAUAUACUAAUCCAUCAAAUUGGGACAUUCUACCCGAAUAUCUCAAAAAUCUAUUACAUACCUUCUCACAAGUGGCACUAGUUUACAACUACCAAUGAAAAGAGGGUCAAGGGGGUUAAAGCCUCAUAAUAGACAUGGUCAACCUUAUCCUUAUAUUAUAACCCCGUACAAUUGUAUCUAAUUAUACUGCUUUCUCACAUCAUAAUUACUUACCCAAGCGUACAUUUACACUACCUUCAAAUUUCUCAAAAAACCAUGAGUCUAUAAUCAUAACUUACUCGCUAAUAUAGCCAUUUUCACAUUCAAGCAACCAACAAAUCACCCUGACCAACAACUCCUUCUCUACCUUAUACUAAUAACACACAAGGAAGAAUCACUUCAUUACCAACUCUAUCUCAUGCAAAUAGAUUCAGCCAUACAUAUAUUAAACCAAUGAAAGAACAAUAAGUUGGACCACAAGUUGCUAGUGAAUCGAAACAGGCCUCACACGGCUUCACUAGACUUUGGUUUUGUAUUUUGAACAAGAAAAUGGGAUGAAUGACAAGUCAACUAUGCUAGUGAAUCGAAAGAGCCCCACAUGGCUUCACUAGACUUUUUAGUUUCAUCAACACAAUGAUAAAAUAUUUUCAAGAGAUAGAAACUUGUCACACAAUAGUCCAUAAUCUGAAAAUACACAUCUUACUUUGUAUAGAUAAAAAUCUGAGUCAAAUAUUUCCCCCACAGAUUAUGAUACAAUCCAUACAUAUUACUAGCUACCAACAGGUCAUGACACUGACAAUUUAACUUAUACUACUAUUUGGGUGGAAAUACAAUUCCAACACUCCUACUACAUAUCUUUUCCUUUAAGAUGACAUCUGCAACAUAAAUUUCUGAAAAGGGCCGAAUAUACUCAAUACAGAAGGCUGAAAAGUAUGAUUUCAUCAAGAUCAAGGUUCAAACUAGAACCCAUACACUCUAAAGCAAUAAUCGACUCUUCUCAAGUCCUUGCACAAUUUUAAGAUCUUAUAUGACGCGAUCCGAAGGGACAAUACCAUUUAGACUUUAAACUUCUUCACUUGAAUCACCCCAGUAAUGUGACGAGUCUGAGAACAUCCGAGUAAGAAAAGAAUUUGGGAUGAUUUUACUUUUGUAUGGACGUCACCAUAGCACGAAUUAAAGUAUGAAGGAGGAACAUUCUAACUCUGUUAAUCGAACUAGAACAUGAAGAAAGAGAGACAUUCUUAAACGUCUUGUAGCCUCCUGCUAAUAAGUGUGGCGUGCUACACACCCAUAAAUAAGAAUCUACCUGCCGCAAUUUCACAGACACCCUGGGACCAUGAACCAUGCUUUGAUACCAAGUUUGUCAUGACCCAAACCAGGGCUUGGCCGUGACGAGCAUUUCGAACCAUAGAGGCCCGAAACACCCCUAUCUGUCUGGUAAUCAUGCACCUAAUUCAUAUGAUUAAAGUAAUGCGGAAGAAACACAAUAAUUCAGAAACAUGAUCAUAAAUAUGAAAAGAAACAAUAACGGGGAGAUAAGAUUCCCUCAACAUCAAUUAGCCUCUAAACAAUUAUUUGCGAAAAUCUCAAACAAAUGACUGAGUUAAGUAACCGUAUAUAAACUGGGACAAGGCCCCCAGUAGACCCCCAAAACUGAAUAUAAGAUAAAAGGACAUAAGACCUUUCGAAAUAUAGAAGGCUCACCACUUGUCUCUGCAACUCUUUUUGAAUGAUCUACUGAUUCUCUUGACCCCUAGACUGGGCCUCUGAACCUUGUGAGGUUGGAGAGGGGAGGGGGUCAGCACAAAAGUACUGGCACGCAGAGAUAUCAAAACAAAACAUAAUAUUUUUACAAAAUAUGGUUGAGAGCCAUUAUAAAGAAAUUUCGUAUCAAAUUAUUUGAAAACACAUGGGUGUAAUGCAAUAGUUUUCCAACAACAAUGAAAUGCAACUGAGCUAGGUGGAAUACCCUACAUAAUUUACACCAACUGUCAAACCUCGGUUGCCACCGAGAUUAGAGUAUAAGUGAGGGAGAGACACACAAGAUCACAGAGCAUGGUGUCUCGACCCAAUGGUAGUACCCAAGAUCACUUAGCCCGGGAUCCUACCUAUAGUCCCAAUUUGGGAAUGACAUGAAGUCAAGUACACAAGAUCAUUUAGCCUGGUACCAAUAUUUCGUGUCGGCAAACACGUUUUCCAGCGAUGAGCCCUUACAUCUCAAAUGCCUUCUUCGGGCAUCGACCUUUCUUAUGUAAAAUCAAUGCAUUCAAAUUUUAUCUGAUUCAAUCACAUAUCAUGUUCUGUAGGGUAUCAUCAUACCCGACUUGCAAGUCCUCAAUAUCACUUCCAAAUAUGCAUAACCAUGUAAAAACCAAGGUGCUUCAUCAUUUACAAGUGGUNNNNNNNNNNNNNNNNNNNNNNNNNNNNNNNNNNNNNNNNNNNNNNNNNNNNNNNNNNNNNNNNNNNNNNNNNNNNNNNNNNNNNNNNNNAUAUUUAUCAAACUUUUAUGAAAAAUCUCAAAUCAUAUAUGCAUGGUUUCAACCAUUGAAGUAUAUAGACAAACAAUUCCCAUGACAUAAAGAAAAAUGACUUAGAAAUCAUAUUGAAAUCAAGUUAUUAGCAUUUGAUUGAAAACCCCUAUUUAGAAGCAUGGAUGUUCAUAAAAACUACACCCAUGAGAUUUUAGGAUAACCCCACGUACCUCUAUAUGCAAAUAUGAUAGGUGCUUCUUGAAGCCUACGUUGCGGAGAUUCCAAAUCUUCAAUUUAUUUUGAAAACCCAUGGUUGAAUCUUGAACUAUUUGGGUUUUUAUUUUGAAACCCUAGAGAGAGUUCUUGAACAAAUUGGAUGAAUGAAGGUGUAUUUUGGGGUCUUUGGGAACUGAAUUUCGUGUUUAUGGCUAAAUAAGGGUGGAAAAGGACCAUUUUGCCCCCAAAAAAUGGAGUGUUUAAGUAACCUGAAAUCUUUACAUAGGCGGUGCCUAUGCUAUCGCCUAUGUUUACAUAGGCGCCGCCUACUACUUUGAAAGGCCAUAACUUCUUGCCGGGUGUUGGAUUUUAGGAAAAUUGGUAUCGUUGGAAAGCUAACUUGACGACCUAUCAUUUGACACAUAGUAGGCUCUCUAAUUCGACAUAUACAGAGAGUUAUGGUCGAUGGAAGCUGAAACAAAUUACAACGUCCACUAAAACUUAAUAGAUCAAAAUAGUUUCAACUUGUCCUUGAGUUGAAGGACCUCUAUGGUCUAAAUUCAAGCUCGAAUGGAUUUACAUACUACGCAAUUAAUUAACAUUCCAUAUUGGCAUAGGAUUUAUGGCUUCGGGAUUAUCAACGCAUCAAAAUCAUGAUUUUUAUUCUAGCCCAAAAUGCGGGGUGUUACAAAAUUCAUAUAGGGUGAAUUCCAAUUUCAAAUUAUCCAUUUAUCUUACUUCAUAUUAUCCGUAUCCAUGUAAGUCAUUUCAGUUAUUUACUUUAGAAGGAGAAGCAAAAGUAGCAUUAAUUUGCUAAUGCUGCCUAGUUUGUUUUUAUUAUGUUAUUAAGCCAUGAACUAGUCUAGAGUAGAGCCAUUUUAUCUAUUUAAUCCAAUUUCAUUCCUUGGAUUAACUUGAAAGUUGUGUGAUAUUUGUACGUAAUAACUCAACCAGGAAUUCACUUCACCAUUGAUUAUUUUACAUUUUUAGAAAAUUACAAUUUAAAAAGGCCAACUCUACAUAAAAGAGGUGCGAAUGCUUGGGGCCAGUUCCUCAGGAAACCAGUUGGUUGAUUUUCUAGAAGAGCAUUUCCAUCAUAGGAUAAAUAGGUAUGGAUAUAGAGGCUUUCAUUGUCUGACACCUCUGCUAGGCUUGAAUAAGUCUGUUCUACUUCCAUUUACCAGAUGGAGGAUGUAGAAAUGUAGGACAUGAUGAGGCUGAUCAAAUUGUGGGGAAAUCUGAUGUAGCUAAGGGUGUGUUAAAUGAAGGACCAUUACUAUCAAAGGCUUUUUCAAGAUCAAUCUUUAGAAUGAGGCUACCUUUCCUGCCUUUCUGUUGUUGGAACUGAGAGAUGAAUUCUUAGACAAUGAUUGCAUUUCAGAGGUUCUUCUACCAGAGAGGAAGUUGGAUUGAGUGGGACCAAUGAGAGAGGGAAGGUAGGGCUUGAUCCUAUGGAUUGCAAUUUUGGUCACAAUCUUAUAGAGGCUAUUACAUAGUCCAAUGGGUCUAUAAUUUCUAGGAUGGUGGCAUUGGGACACUUUGGAAUGAGACAAAGAAAGUUUAAUUUACCUCAGGGUUCAUUUUAUGAGAUUGGAAUGCUUCGUUAACAAAGUUGUUGACCUUCUCGUGCACAGUAUUCCAAUAUUUUUGGAAGAAAAAGGGGUGGAGGCCAUGAGGGCCGGGAACUUUCAUAGGUUUGAGGGAGAAGACAACUUGUUUGGUUUCAUGAUCCUCAAGGUUCCUGCUAAGAUGGUUUUGGGAUGUGAGGUCAAGAGGGGGGCCAUGUGUGUCAAUGAAAUGACAGUUACUGGGGAGCUAAAAUGAUCAGUAGUACAAAGGUUGGAGUAGAAGGACACAAUGGAGAGUCUAAUAUCAUUGUGGUUAUAGAUCCAGCUGCCCACCUUAUCUUGGAGGCUUAGGAUUCUAUUUCUUCUUCUUCUACUAAUAAUGGGUUGAUGGAAGAAUUUGGUGUUCUCAUCCAGUUUCAAUUACAAUUCCAUUCUAACAUUGCAUGAGAAGCUUUGAGAUUUUGCAAAAAGAACUACAGAAUUAAUUGCACAAAGUAAACUAAUUAUCUUUCUUUAUCAGGGGACCAAGGCAAUGGAAGCAAUCUGGUUUCAUUAUCGGCAAAAAUUAUGCUUUAGCAAAGAGGCCAUGAAAAAUAUGAAAAGUCUUAGGAUAUUAUACAUAUGUCAGGAGUACGCAUUCAGAUGCAUCAAUUGCCAUGAUGGCUCCUUUGAGUACCUUUCAAACAAAUUGCGUUGGUUUUCCUGGAAUCGUUAUCCUUGGGAGUCAUUGCCAGCUAAAUUUGAACCCAAAAAGCUUGUUUAUCUUCAACUAAGGUUCAGUUCACUGCAUCAUUUAUGGACCGACACAAAGGUACAAACAUUCUUUUCUUGUAUUUUAAUAAUAAUUCUUUUACCUAGCUAUUCUUGUUUUUCUAUCUCAUUUUCUCCAUUCUAAACAGCAUUUGCCGUCUCUACAAAAGCUAGAUCUCAGGGACUGUAAAAGCCUGACACAAACACCAGAUUUCACCGGGAUGCCAAAUUUGGAGUAUUUGUAUCUGAGACCUUGUAGUAAUCUUGAAGAGGUUCAUGGUUCCCUGGGAUGUUGUAGAAAACUCAUUCGAUUAGAUUUGAGUGAUUGUGGAUGCCUGAAGAAGUUUCCAUGUGUUAACGUUGAAUCUCUUGAAUAUCUGACUCUACAAUACUGCUCUAGUUUAGAGAUAUUUCCAGAGCUACUAGGAAGAAGUAAGCUGGAGUUAGAGAUUUCGGUGAGAAGCACUAGGAUAAGGGAGCUACCAUCAUCUAUUCAAUACCAAACUCAUAUUACCAAGCUAGAUUUAAGUCAUUUGGAAGACCUUGUAGCUCUUCCAAGAAGCAUCAGUAUGUUGAAAAGCUUGGUGGAUCUAUAUUUGUGGGGUUGUGAACAACUUGAAAGCUUGCCAGAAGAGAUAGGAGAUCUAGAAAACUUGGAGAUGCUUGAUGCCCAACAAACCCUAAUUUCACGACCUCCGUCUUCCGUCAUGUGCUUGAACAAACUUAAAUCCUUGAAGUUUGGAAAUGAUAUUGAAGAAAUAGGGUAUUCAGAAGGCUUCAAAGAUGAACUGUACUUUGUGUUCCCACCGGUAACAGAAGGAUUGUGUUCAUUGGAAUAUCUGGAUCUCGGUAACUGUAAUUUAAUAGAUGGAGGACUUCCGGAAGAUAUUGGAUGCUUAUCCUCUUUGAAAAAGUUGCAUCUCAAUGGAAAUAAUUUUGUGUAUUUGCCUCGAAGCAUUGCCCAUCUUGGUGCUCUUCAAUCCUUGAACAUAACAAACUGCAAGAGACUUAAAGAGUUACCAGAUUUCACCAGGAUGCCAAAUUUGGAGUAUUUGUAUCUGGGAUCUUGUAGUAAUCUAGAAGAGGUUCAUGAUUCCCUGGGAUGUUGUAGAAAACUUAUUCGGUUAGACUUGAGUUAUUGUGAAAGCCUUAACAGGUUUCCAUGUGUUAACGUGGAAUCUCUUGAACAUCUGGAUAUACAAGAUUGUUCUAAUUUAGAGAAAUUUCCAGAAAUCCUUGGAAGAAUGAAGCCGGAGUUAGAGAUUCACAUGAGACCCUCUGGGAUAAGGGAAAUACCAUCAUCUAUUAUUCAGCACCAAGCUCAUCUUACAGAGCUGGAUUUUAGAUUCAUGAAUAACCUUGUAGCUCUUCCAAGUAGCAUUGGCAUGUUGAAAGGUUUGGUGGAGCUAGUUGUGUCGUACUGCUCAAAACUUGAAAGCUUGCCGGAAGAGAUAGGGGACUUAGAAAACUUGGAGGAGUGCGAUGCCAGCUAUACUCUAAUUUCACGACCUCCGUCUUCCUUCGUCCGCUUGAACAAGCUUAAAUUCUUGUAUUUUGAAAAACUAAAAUCAAAAGAUAGUGUGCUCUUUGUGUUCCCUCAAGUGACUGACGGGUUAUGCUCCUUAGAAUAUUUGAAUCUCACUGCAAUAUAAUAGAUGGAGGACUUCCAGAGGACAUUGGAUGCUUAUCCACUUUGAAAAAGUUGAAUCUCACUGGAAAUAAUUUUGAGCAUUUGCCCCGAAACGUAGCCCAACUUGGUGCUCUUGAGUACUUUGACUUAUCACAUUGCAAGAGGCUCAAAGUGUUACCAGAUUUCACUGGGAUGCCAAACUUGGAGACUUUGAAUCUGUCCUAUUGUAUGAAUCUUGAAGAGGUUGAUCAUUCCAUGGGAUUUCUCAGAAAGCUCUUGAGAUUAGAAUUGAAUAAUUGUAAACGGCUGAAGAGGUUUCCAUCUCUGUACAUCGAUUCCCUCAAAUAUCUGGAUCUAGAGGGGUGCUCUACUUUAGAAAAUUUUCCAGAAAUCCUUGGAAGCAAGAAAAUGAAGUCGGAUAUUCACUUGCUAGACAAUGUGAUGAGGGAUCUAAAUUUGAUGUAUAUUUCAUUUCCACGCUCCUUGUCUCAGUAUAUCAUUCCCUUGCAGCAUGGCAUCUCUGCUUCAGAUUCCUUGUCACAGAGAGUGUUCACAGUUGAGCAUGGUGGGAAUAAGAUCCCAAGUUGGUUCCACGAUCAGGGAACGGAUAGAAGUGUAUCAGUCAAUUUGCCUGAAAAUUGGUACAUACAUGAGAACUUCUUGGGAUUUGCUGUAUGUUUCUCUGGCAGCUUAAUUUAUGAAACCACAGUUACAUUGAUUCCAUUAUGUGAUGAUGAGAUGUCAUGGAUGACCCAGAAACUAAUACUAUCAUUCUCCCUUUCAAAAUGGGGUACAGGACCUAAGAUUCAUUUUUUCGUAUUACCUCUUUCAAGCUUAUGGGAUACAUCUAAGGAAAAUGGGAAAACACCAAAUGACUAUGGGUGCAUUGUGUUAUCUUUUUCUGGAUUGAUGAGUGAGUUUGGAUUUCGUUUGUUGAAUAAAGAUGAACUAGAUCUUGAGGCUUCAUUACAAAUGAGGGAACAUAAGGAUGAACCAAUAGAACAUUGCAUUGGGACUAGUAGUGAACAACAUGACUCCAUGACCAAUGAAGCCAGUUGCUCCUCUUCUAGGAAAAAUUCUAAUAUUCGUGGGAAAGUCGCCAGUCUCUUCAGAAACAUUGCAGCUCUUUCUUGCAAACCCAGGACUUAAGUAUAGGUAAUAUACAACAAGACUUGCUUUAUUUUUCUAGUUGGUAGUUGAAUUGUGUUCUCUCAUUUUAUGUUACUCUCUCCUUUUAUUAGCUACGGAGUCUUUUUCCAAAACAGAUGAUAUUUUCCUAUUCGUUCGUUCUUCGUUUUCCCUUUUUGUUUUCAUUAUUUCUUCUUUUCCAUAUUGAUAGAAUGUUGUUGGAUUUUAGCUUUGAAAUUAAAGAAAUACUGCAAUUGUAUUGUCAAAGGAAAUUGUUUUAUUAAUAAAACAAACACAUACAUUUAUAACUAAAUUUCUAACUAAACUUCCAUUCAAAUUCAAAUAACAGGAUAACUAAUUCCUGAGACUAAGCCACACAGAAUUCCAAUAAUUUAAAACUAUUAAUAGUUAUCUAGUUCUACUUUAUUUCUGAGACAUAUCUUCAAUACUCCUCCUUGAAUCAGAAAUUGUAGAUUGAAGGCUCGAAUGAAUUUGAUGUAACACCCCGUAUAAUUCUUGGCUUGAUUUAACUCUUAGUUGUAUGCAUAGGGAGUUUAAGGCCAAAAACUUUUGUAAGUGUUGGGGACAUAGUCAUAUUUUAAGCCUCUUAACUUCGAGAAUUUUGUAAUUGAUCUUUCCGACCCUGAAACAUAGACUUUUGAAUUAAUUCAUGUUCGGGGAUGUAAUGGGCAUGUCUCAGAAAAUUUUUUGAUUUUUCGGAUGGGGGUUGGGUUGUGUUUGGUUUUCGGUUCCAGAACUUCACUGCGAUAGCGGUGCAUCGCGGUGAGACCUUUACCGCAUUGCGGUGCCCUUGUCAUCGGCGUUCCAAUCACGAAUUUAAUUUCCAGAAAGGAAAUGUGGUCUUUUCCUCUCAUUUCAAUUCGUAAAUUGACGUAUUAUAUCAUCAAUUAGGGCAAAUAUUUCCCAUUCUCAUCAAUUAUACUCUCAAGCAAACCCUUCUCUCUUCCCAAAAACAAGAAUUCAAUUCUCUCAAGUUCAAGAAUUGCAAGAAAAUAGCAAGAUUAGGGUUUCAUUCUUCAAACAAAGAAACUUAAGGUAUGUGGGACUAUCCUAAGCUUCUUGAGCAUAAGUUUUUGUGGUUUUUGUUAAAUUUAAAGAUAUAUAAUCAUGUUUACAAAGAGGGUUUUUUGACAUUGUUUUGAAUAACAUGUAUUAUGAACUUAUUUUGAUGGAAGUAAAUGUUUGUCUUGAAUCCCUUUUUAUAAAAUUGAACUAUAACCAUAUUUAUAUAUGCGUUUUUAGUUUUGCAAAGUUUGAUUGAGAGCAUGAAUAACGAAACUCCUCUCUUGUUGUGAUACCUCUUGAUUUUACAUGUUAUGGGUUGUUCAAUUGCAUGUUUAGAAGCAUGAGAUAAACGUUUUACUAUUGUUAUGGACUUGAUAAUGGUUAUGAAUUAAGGAGAGGAUGUUUUCUUGUUUAUAAAUAUUCAAUGUAAUGAGUUGAAAGAAGUGCAUGGAUUGUCAUAAAGAAAUUGACCAUCAUGUAUUAACUAUUGAAAAGAGAGAAUCUUUGCAAGGGUUUUGACAUGUUUUGAAAUAAGGACUCUCUGCUAUUGUUUAAAUGUUUUAGUGGUCAAAUGAUUUGAUUGGAUUGAAAUUCUAAAGUAUAUCAUGAUAUGGCUUAUGUAUAGAUGUGACUUGCAAGUCUGGGUAUGACGAUACCAAACAGAUGAAUGCCAUAAUAGAUUCAGAACAAAUUUGGAAUAAAGAAUUUAUGCAGAUUUUUAGAUUUUGAGUUCAGAAAGAUUCAUGUCAAUAAGAUUAAAAAUGGGCUUUAAGAGAGUUAGGUGGUUACCCGAAGAAGGCACAAGUUCAGAUAACUCAUUGUCCAAAAUCGUGUUUUGCCAAUACUGGUUUGAUUAUUUCCCAAGAUAGGGACUAUAUAUUAGCCUUGUGCCCUUUGGCGUAUUAGAUGUAGAGACUCCAACCCUUGCGACAAACAUGGGUUGGGGGCUUGAACGCCGAGUUAAAGGCAGAUUCUAUAUAGUCCGUGCAAUUGUAGAUAUGUAGGGUGUACCACCUAGCUCAGAAGUAAGACUAAGAGUCGAGUUGAGAUUUAUACAUAUGUUUUGAAGCCUAUUGAUUAUGCCCAUGUAUUUUCAAUUGUCUUACGAUGACAUAUUUUUUAUUUAUGAAAUGCUCUCACUUACAUUGUAUAUCAGUAUUUUAUUUUUUGGUUGUUCUACGUACCAGUACAUUAUGUAUUAACCCCCUAUAUUUCAGGAUCUGAGGCUCAGUCCCGGGGUCCCGCUAAGUAGUAGAUCAUUGUCAGACGUUUAGAGUUGGUGAGCCUCCAUUAUUUCGAAAGGCCUUGCUUCAUCUGAUUUUUUUAAUUAGUUUUAGUUCAUGGUACGUCUGGGGAACUUGUCCCGAUUUCAGACAGAUGUUGUUUUCAGUUUAGUAGAGAUUUUGCAGACUUGUGUUAGAUGGUUUUGGGUCUUUUAUGAACUUAUAUCCACGUUGGCUAGUUGAAUUAAUAAGAUGGUCAUGAUCCCCGUUUAUUUCUGCAUUAUGAUUUUUGAUGAAUUAUGCAUAUGAUUACAAGUUAAGAUAGUUCUCGGCCUUGAUGGUUCGGAAUGGUUGUCAUGGCUAGGGACUUGGUUUGGGUCAUGAAAAACUUGGUAUUAGAGCGAGUUCAUGGUCCUAGGGUGUCUGGAAAGUCGCAUUGGGUAGAGUCCUAUUUAUGGGUAUGUAAUGCGCCACACUUAUAAGGAAGAAGUUACUAGGUGUUUAGGAAUGUCUCUCUUUUUUUCAUGUGUGAGUUUGUGAUUUAGAGUCUGAAUGUCCCCUAACUCAUGAUUUCCUAUAUUUCAAAGAUUGAUCAUGCCUCCCCAUAGAUCCAACGAGCAGAAUACCCAUACUGAUGAUUGCUCCAUACUCAUGGGAUGCGGACCCGUAAUAGAGCUCGUACUCCAAACUUUGUUGCUGCACUAGGAGUUGCUCCAGUCCCAACUAGUCCACCUUGGUCCGAUGUUAACCAUACCAAGCCUCCUCAGAGGAAAGUCUCGAAUGUUGAGUUCCAACAGUCUAUCCAUAUGAUUGCUCAGCUUGUGGCCUCUCAGAUCCGAUUUAAGGUUGAAUAUAAAACCAAAAAAAACCCAAAUCUCGCAUUCUCAAUACAACUCGCCAAGUACCCAAAACAUGCAAUUUUCUAUUCUCCAAAGCAAGAAAUUGAGGGUUUACAUCUCCAAGUGCAAAUCUUCAAAACUUCAAUUCAAGAAUCAAGAGUAAUCGAGUAUGUGCAUAUUCAAUGAGGAUCUCCCUUCCUCAUACCCAAAUUAUGAUUUUGGUCAUGAAUUCUACGAUCUUCAAAAACUAGGGCUUAACCCAAAUUGUCACUCCAAUCUUAAAUUCAAUUUCCUAUGAUAUAAUUUUCACUUUUAUGCAUGUUUUAAUGAUUAGUCAUGGUUUCUUAGGCCCAUAUCAUAUCAUUCACGCUGUUCUCAAAUCCAAGUAGGUUUAACGUGAUAUGAGUUAAGAUUUCAAGCAUAUGUUAAAGCUAUAUGAGUUUUUCUUAAUUUCUCUAAUUUAUUUUGUAAUUAAAACAGGAACACAUGUUUUCUCAUAAGAAUAGCAGCUUCCCAUGUUCAAAAUCAUAAAUUUCCUUAUUAUGACUAGUUGUUGAGUUUUGGGGCCUAAAUUGUGAAUAUCCUCUUGAUGUUAGUUAAUAUUGUCAUGAAUAGAUCAUUGGGUUAUGAACACCUAAUCCCUAGAAAAUCAGGCAUACAUCAUUUUACAUGUUCAUGAUUACUUCAUAUUAUGCAUGCAUUGUUUUUUCAGAAUACCAUGACUUGAGCAUAUCAAUUAUCAUUUUAUGUUUCAGUUAUACUUUAGUGUCUUUCAGUUGAGAGUAAUACUUAGCAUUAGGUGAAUACAGAGAUUACGGGUCCCUCGUCAGUUAGGAAUGGGAUCAUUUUUAGCAGUCCCUGAGUUCCAAAACUACGUUUCCACCAUAGGUUAUAAGAGGAUCCCCGUCAGUAGAGGCAUGCCACUCUAGUCCUUCAAGAUAUCAGUUUAGUGGAUCCACACCAGCCAGUGUUGGAACCCUUGGCAAGGUACUGACACCCUUUCAAUUGGUGUUACAGGUUAGACCCUGAUUUGCUUAGGUUAGGGUAUAUCUGUUAUGGUUAGCUCCUAUAGUCCGCACUUCAUGUUCAUCUUAUGUUUCAGUUUAGAUAUACAUGACCUUGUAUUCAGUUAUUCAGUUUUAUAUAGUAUAUGUUUAUACUUGGUCAUUGCAUCAGUUCAUGUUCCACAGUUUUAGACCCACUAUUUAUACAUGACUCUCAGUUUAACUUUACUUCCUUUUUAUAAUAUUAAUUUUCAGACUAUCACAACUUUUACGUACAACCAUAUUUUGAAUGCAUAUUUUAGAAAAUGGUUUUUGUCCUCAAUUUCAAAGUAUAUUUAAGUAUUUUCAUGACUAGUGCAUAUCUUACAUACUCGGUAUAUUCCAAAGUACUGAUCGCAUACCCCUUCUGCCUAUAUUUUAUUAUGUGAUAUAGAUUCAGAUGCUUACUCUCAGGAGCAUACUCAGGUAGAUUACAACAUUUAGUCAGCAAGUGAUGAGUUCUCUUAUUUUGAGGAAUCAAGUUAGUUGCAGUUCUUAUACCUAUAUUUUCUCUUUUGUAAGUAUUAAUUAGGGAUAUUUGGAGUCAUGUCCUGACUACCUAUAGUCAGUAUUAGUAGAGGCUUCAUAGAUGGUUAGUCAGACUCAUUGUAUGUAGUUUAAGUUCCUUAUUCUUUCAGAGCACACUAUUGUAAACUUUGGAAAAUAAGGUUUCGAAAUAGAUUAUGUCAUGAUUAUGUUUCUGCUCAGUAAAUUUAGCUUUUAUAUAUUGUCACAACCCAAGUCGUGUCCCUAGCUGCAAUGGGCAUCCCGAACCAUCAAGGCCUGAGAGACCCCUGUAAUAGCCCAACUCAUUACUGAUAUUGUCCAUUAUGGGUCUAGACCUGCACGACUUUAAAAUGCAUUACUAGGGAGUAAGGUAUGCUUACUUAUAUACCCAGCAUCCCUCCUGUGUUUUAUUGAUGUUGGACUCCUUAUCCUAAGUUGGGGUGUUACAUAUACCCGCUUUAUGGACUCUGUGUACUCGUUGAGGUUUGUCUAACCGAAUAGUAUUUGCCUAGACUCAGGACUGAUAUUUGCCCUGCCUUAUCAGGAUUUGCCUGAACUUAGUUUGAACUCUGGCCCACAUCGACAUGCAGGAAUGACUCUGAUACCAUUAUUGUCAUGACCCGACCCAGAUCCUUGGACGCAAUGGGAAUCUCAAACCAUCAAGACCUGAGAGAAUCCUGUAAUGACCUAACCCACUAUUGAUAUUGUCUGCUCUGGGUCUAGACCCGCAUGUCUUUAAAACGUGUCACUAGGGAGUAAGGGUUGCUUACUUAUAUACCCAGCAUCCCUCCUGUGUUUUAUCGAUGUUGGACUCCUUAUCCUAAAUUGGGGUGUUACAUAUAUAUAUAUAUAUAUAUAUAUAUAUAUAUAUAUAUAGGAAUAAGCAGGCAGCAGGUCGACGUGCCUGCUUGUACUGCUUGCUUCAGCUACUUCAAUCGUGUUAGCUUGAGAUCACUUAUAGUUUUAAGCACCGUGUUACGACUAAGAGGUAGUCUCUAUUCGUGACACUAUAUGACCGUGUUCUAGGUUCACAUAUUAUACUUUUGGAAUGGCUAGAGCCUUGGUGUCUUUAUCCCUUCCUAUGGAUUCCAUGGUUUUUGCGGCUAACACGCACCAGGACCCUUUUAAAAUGGGGAGUUGGGCCCUUAUAGCCUAUGGCUACCUUUAGGAUAUAGCGAGCUACACAAGUCAGUUUAAUGGUUUAAACUCUCAUGUUCAUGACCCUUUUCCCUAUCUCGACAUCCUAUAUAUGUAUAUAUGAAUUUGUACUUGUGAUUUUGAUUGAUUUUGGACAUGGAAUUAUUUUAUUACUUUCUCUAAGUUAUAUGCCAGUGCUUAUCCCACUAACUAUCCCUGGAUGCUACAUUAUUUCAUGAUAUAAGGUUUUCAUAAUAUAGGGUCCAAAAGGUGUUCUGUUUCUCUUGUACAACAUUAGGUGAAUCAAUACUCAUGUGGAUCUACUGUGAAGUAGUGAGCCUCUAUCUUUUGGAAGGCCCUGUCAUUUCACUAGUUUCUAUAUUGUUUUCAGUAGUGUUUAGCAUUCCAGUUUGAAUUCUUUCUAGUCAUAGUCUGGGGCAUGUCCCGACUUAGUUAGUAUUUUUGAUUUUAGAGGUGUUUAUGGACAAGUGUGGGUUGGAUGUUGGUUUUGAUUCAUAAAGUUUACAUUUGAUUAUCUGUCCUUUUUAUUACUAUUUCAUUGGUUUCCUCUAUAUUCAUUUAUUGUGUUCUGCAUAUUAGGCUAAGGGGGUAUCCUUCGAUUCAAGGUGGGCUUGAUAUACCUUUCACGACUAGGCCUUCGUUUGGGCCGUGAAAGGAAAAGACCAAACUAUCCCUAAGGAAACUUUAAAAAAUUUGCAAGAAAUACUCAGUUAACAACUAAGUUGAUAGCUCAUCAGCUUGUUGACUGCUCGUCAAUUUAGUCAUCAAUAUCUAGCUGAAUUAGUCAUUUGUUGGUUAAGGUUGACGACGAAGUUGACAGUUCAUCAUUUUGUUGAUGACUCAUCAAAUUAGUCGUCAAUCUCUAAAUGAUUUAUGGUCUUUUCUAGUUAAGGUUGAUAAUGAAGUUGACAGCUCGAUAGCUUGUUGACAGCUCGCCAACUUAGUCGUCAACUUCUGGUAUACAGACACUCCUAGGUAAAAUGAGCAUAACGUUCUACUCCGGUAUCGGAUUAAGGUGAAAUCGAAUGCGCUGGAAAGAAGACUCAAAGAUCUUUCAUUUGGUGGGUCUUGAGCUUCAAAAAUCUCUAUAUUAUAUAAGUUAUACUCAUUUAAAGUUGACCCUUGUAGGAUCAAAUACUAUAACUCAAUUGAUACAAAUGUUUUCAACUCAACUUUCCUCUAAGUGCUUCCUAUGAACAUAAUCGUCUCGAAAACACUUUACACACAAGGUGAAUGGUCAUAAAACUUAAUUGUGGUUUAAAAAUAGUUUCUUUGGGGCCUUUAAACAUAUGACAGAUAGUUGAAAACUUAUCAAGGAGCUUGUAGGGUAUUACAUAACACCCGGGUUGUUACAUUAUUCCCUCUCUUUAGGAUCAUUCGUCUCCGAAUGAGAGCUUAGGACACCCUUAGCACAAUAUACGGAGAAACCUAUAGGGACAAAAGAAUAACCUCAAAAUGAAUUAAGAGAAAGAAUAAGAUUUGUACCUUAGGUACUCUCAUCCAACCUUGGAAUAAAGAGUAUUGAGGCUUCAUGUCCUCCUCUGAUUCCCAUGUAGCCUCUUCUACCUUUUAGUUCCUCCAAAGAACCUUCACUAAAGUUAUUCCUUAGUUAUUAAUUUAUGAACUUUCCUAUCCAUAUUUCAAUAAGAAUUUCCUCAUAGGUUAAUGAAUCCUAAACGCUAAUAUCCUCAAUGGGCACCACCAAGGAAGGGUCAUCCAUACACUUUUUUUAGCAUAGACAAAUGAAAACGGGUUGACCCAAUGCUAAGCUCACUGGUAAGUCCAACCUAUAUGAAAUAUUUCUAACCUCCCUAGAAUAUGAUAUGGCUCUAAUAUAACAGGGACUGAGCUUUCCCUUUUCCCUAAAUCUUAGAACCUAUUCCAUAAGAGAAACCUUCAAGAACACCCAAUUGUUAACGUCAAACUCAAGCUCUUUUUAUCUCACAUAUGCAUAGGAUUUUUGGUGACAUUUAGUUGUCUUAAUUCUUUCUUAAAUUACCUUACCGUCUUAACUCUUUCUCAAAUUACCUUCACAUUCUCCAUUCUUGAUGUUCUAAAUCAGGCCUAAACAACAUUACCUCACCUACCUCAAAUAAUCCAAUCGGAGACCUAUACCUUCUACCAUAAAGGGCCAUCAGGCCCGAACAACCUUUUCUCACCUACCUUAAACAAUCUAAUCAGAGACUUAUACCUUCUACUAUAAAGGGCCUUAGAAGGGGCCAUUUGAAUAUUGGAAUAAUAGCUAUUAUUAUACGCAAAAUUGAUGAGCAACAAAUGAUCAACCUAACUUCCUUUGAAGUCAAUUACAUAGGCCCUUAGAAUAUCCUCUAAAUUCUUAAUAGUAUUCUCCACCUGUCCAUCCGUUUGAGGGUGGAAAUGGUACUAAGGUUUACCUAAGUACCCAAACCCUUCAUAAAAGAACACCUAAAAUGAGAAGAAAAUUAUCUAUCUCACUUAGAAAUAAUAGACACCAGGGCUCCAUAAAACUGGACUAUCUCCUGAAUAAAUAACUUUUCAUAAUCCUUUGCUGAGUAGUUAGUCCUCACCAGCAAAAAGUAAGUGGAAUUGGUCAUUCUAUUCAUAAUGACCCAAAUAGAAUCGUAAAGAUUUUGGGACCACAGAAGACUCGUAAUGAAAUUCAUAUUGAUCAUUUCCCAUUUCCAUAUAGGUAUAGCCAUGUCAUGGGAAGUGCCACCUGGCCUCAAAUGCUCUACAUUGACUUGUUGACAAACCAUACAAUUGGCAACGAAAUUUUCUCUGUCCUUCUUCAUAUUGUUCCACCAAUAAAUUUCUUUCAAGUCAUGAUAUAUCUUUGUUUAACUUGGAUGACCAAUAAAUCUGGACUAAUGGGAUUCGGUUAAAAUACUUUCUCGCAGCCUAUCCAUAUUAGUAACCGUACGCUCCUAACUUACAGUGUCAUCUACCCUAAUUUUGAAAGCCAUAACUUUUUGCUGACCUACGUCAUCCUUGAUUUGCAUAAUUAUGGGAUCCAGAACCCGCUUCUCGUUAACUUUGGCCCCAAGAGAUGACUUAUCCGCUUCUUGGACGAUCACUCCCAUAUCUUCAGAGUUAAAAAACCAAACUCCCAAGUUUACUAGUCGGUGAUUAUCCUUCACUAAUCCUCUCUUCUCCUCCUCAACGUGAGACAAAGUCCCCAUGGAUAACUUGCUAAGAGCAUCAAUAACAACAUUGGCCUUACCCGGGUGGUAGUACAGACUCUUGUCAUAAUCCUUAAGCAAUUCUAGCCACCUUAUUUGCUUGAGGUUUAAUUAUUUCUGAGUAAACACAUACUGCAAAGUCUUAUGAUUUGAAUAAAUAUCCACGUGCACCCCAUGUAAAUAGUAACACCAAAUUUUCAAUGCGAGCACUACAACCUCCAAUUCUAGAUCAUGAGUUGGAUAAUUCCCUUCGUGUACCUUAAGUUGUCUAGAAGCAUAAGCCACGACCUUACCAUGUUGCAUUAAUGCACACCCAAGACCCACACGGGAUUCAUCACAAUACACUAAAAAUCCCUCAGUACUAAUACAAUCCUAGCCAUGAGGACUCAAAUCUAGAUGCAGAAAAGUAAAGAUAGAGGGAUAGGAGAGUGAUGAUAGAAAAAUAGACACAAAAUUAAUAACAAAAGGUCAAUCUAAGGGUAUGUCAAACCCUAAGACCUCCUUUUAUGGAUUAUCAAUGAGAACCUAGCUCUUACGUGACCGCAAAUGGAUUAGAUCCUCCUUACAACCAACAUUAAAAGGUUCAACAUAUGCUUUUCCUAGCACUCGAACACUCCCAUGAAGUUAUCAUGAAUACAUCAUGUAAAUUAAUGAACAAAAACUAACUAAUGAAAUAUCUGAGGCACCAAUUUAUAGUAGUUUCCUUUGCACAACUAGCCUAUUACAAAAAUAGCCCAAAAGUGGCUAUUUCAGAAAGAACCCACAAGGUCUCUCUUUAUUCCUGUGCCAUGGCUUUCCUCGAUUCCAUGCUAUCUUCCAAACGUAACACUGCUUUAUUAGGAGCUCGAAGAAGGGCCUCCAAGCACAUUCUUGUAUCCUUAGGGAUAUCAAGUCUUAGACCUUCUUAUAUUGGCCUCGAUUUGUGUGAUCAAAAGCGUUGAUGCCCAUUUGACUUGUAUCAUCCUCCCCUUCUUGAAAAGAAUUCGACCUCGAAUCCAAACCUUACAAAAUCAAAGGAAGGACAAAAGAACACAAAUUACUCGUGGCAUGAGGGUUAGGGUUAGCAUAAGUAAUCAUUUCAUCAUUCUAAGGUUUUACACAGUUAAGAUAUAUCUAAGGAUCCUUCGUGUUAAUCAUUAAAAACUUGUUGAAAAACUUACAAAGGAGUUGGCUACGGGAAUCACCAAGAGGUAAGGAAACCACAAAGGUCAUAAUGGCAUCACUAAAUCCAAAAGGUAAGGUUACCUUUACUUUUAGAGCCAUAACACACAAUUGGUUCAUCACCUUUUUAAGAGACCACAUUAAGAGUGGUGCCUCAAUUGGUAUUAAAGUCCACAAGAUGCAUAUAGUAAUGUCACUCAAACAAGUGGACCAACCAAAAAAUUUUCUACCUCCACAUAAAACAAAUACAAAACUAGCAUGGAUGUCAUCAUAGGCAAAGAGGUAGUAUAGGAAGCAAUCAAGUAUAAAGGCAUCAUUGAAGGCGCUAUCAUCUGUAAGAUUUUCAUUUGACUCAAUAGAUAUAGCACAUAAGACACACAAGGAUAGAAUAAAGACAUUUAAGCACAUAUCACUUCUUUCUUUUAGGUAAAUCAUCAACUUGGCAUCCACAAGUUGAGAGUCAUGCAACUUAAGUACAAGUGUGUCAAACAAGGAUGCAAAGUUAUAAGCAACACCCAAAGGAGACAAUGAUACACUUGCCCUCAGGUUCUCCAGAAUGAUACCACCUUUGAGAAGGAAGUCAUCAUCUCUACUCACAUAAUGAGAAAGGGUGUCAUAUGAAAGGAGUUCAUCCAAAGUAAUGUCAUGACUCGAAUCGGAGCCCUGACCGUGACGGACAUCCCAAAGCAUGAAGGCCCGAGAGCCCUUCUAAGUUGUAAUCAUAUACACCAUUCAUAUACACAUAGGAAAUACGGAAAAAUACAUAAUGAAACAGAAUCAUGGUCAUAAGUCUGAAUUUAUUUUAUAGUAUAGAAAGUAAAGCCCAACGACAACUAGACAAUGUCUGAACCAGUCUGCGAAAUCUCUACUACAUGAUCAAAUCAAAGUUGUUUGAAAACUGGGACAAGGCCCCCAGUAGACCAAGACCAUAAUAAAUGAUAAAUGACUGAAAAACACUAGGCCUUCUGAAAUAUAAGAGGCUCAUCAACUGAACUUUGCACUUCUGCUGGAAGAAAUCUACUGCUUAUUAGGACCUCUAGAUUGAGCCUCAGAACCUGGGAGGGUAGGGGGUUAAUACAAUUGUACCGGUAUGCAGAGAAAAUUCAAAAUAAUAAUUUAUAUUCAACAUAUGUGAGAGCAAUAUAAAAACAAUUCAUAAAUAUAUCAUAUGGUAAGAAAUCACAUGGGCAUUUUUGAAAGACUCUGUAAAAUCAUCUGAACUCUAUGACAAUCUUUGUUUUACUUCUGCACUAGGUGGUACACCCUACAAUUUCAUAGCUUUCACCGACUACCUUAUCUUAGUUGCCGGCAAAAUAGGAGUACUAGUGAGGGAAGAUCACACAAGAUCACACAGCAGGGAGCCAUAACCCCAAUCAAGUCAUUAUGUUGUGGUUGGGCUCAAGAUCAUAAAGCAGGGAUCCAAACCAUAAGUCCCAAUUUGGUAUGACAAAAUAGUAGGUACACAAGAUCACAUAGCAGGGUACCAAGUACCCAUGUCAGCAAAUCAUGAUUUCCAGUAUAGAGUCAUUUGACUCGUGCUUCUUUUGGGUAACGACCUAACUCACAUUAACCCAGUUUUUAACUCUUUGAAACAUGUAUUCUCUGAAAUCAAACUCUGAAAACUCUAACUCUGGUACGGCAUACAUUUAUAUGAUAUCGUCAUACCAUUGACUUGCAAGUCAUAUCUCUGAGCUAUUAUUAGUAUAUUAAAAUCUCUGUUUUCAAAAUAUAAGUUUGGGACCACCAUAUCAAUAAAUCACUUUAAGAACUCCUUAAAUUCAUGUAAAUACAUGUAAGAAAACUUUCUCUUUGUCAACCAAUAAUAUGUGGUAGUCAUGUCAAAUAACUUAAUUAUAUGCAAUUCUUUCUCUGUAAAACAAGCAUAUAAGUAUAACAAGAGAUUUCCUCCCAUCAUCUCCAAAUCAUGUCAAAUACUAUGAUAUUGAAAAGACCACUUUCAAACCAUUAAACAUGUAUUUCAAAUCAUUCUCAAUAAUUUCAUAAACUUAAAUUCAUCACAAGAGAGGGAUUUCAUAAUUUGUGCUCUCAAACAAUCUUCAAUCACAAUUUUUCAUACAUAUACAUAUACAUAUAAAUUAAUUUAUGGGGAAAAGGCCUAAAGGACAAAACAACAAUAUCAUUGAAAUAUUCAUGAUGCAUAAUUAAAAAUCUUGAAUUCUAAAAUCCUUUUCUAAAUUCAUGCUUGAUAAUCUUAACUCAGGUUCUAGUGUUUACAAGCCCAUGUAGUUUUUAGGAUAAACCUCACGUACCUUAAAUUAGAAGCUUUUAAAUGAACUCUAGCUUUUGGGAGGCUAUACGUAUGAUUGAUGGGUGCUUCUUGUAGCCCUCGCAAUGGGAAUUCUGAAUCUUGAAGAAUUAAGAAAAACUCACGGUUAAAUCUUGAGAUAUAUUGAUCUUUAGGUUGAAACCCUAAGAAGUGUUCUUGGUUAUUUUGCGAGAAAAUAACCUUAUUUUGGUAUUUAGAGGAUUUAAUCCCGUGUUAUGGAUGAAAAAGGGGGGUGGAAAAUACCAAUUUUUCCCUUAAAAACGCGAAAACAGAACCUGAAAAUUGGGUACGUGCGACAGAGCGUGUGUCGCGCGAUGCUACUAUCUCAGUCACAAAAAUGGCCAUAACUUUUUGGUCGGGUAUCGGAUUUUAGUAAACUUGGUAUCAUUGGGAAGAUAAUUCGAAGAGAUUUUAUUUGAUAUAUAGUAUGACCUGUAAUUCUUUAUAUACAAAGAGUUAUGGCUUAUUGAAGUUGACCCAAGUUUCUACGCUCACUCAAACUCGAACGAUAGGAAAGCUUUUAACUAGUCCUUAAGUUUGAGGACCUCUAUGAUCUCAAUUCAUGAUCAAAUAGGUUCCCACACUACAAAAUUAAUUAACGUGCCAAAUUAUCAGAUUUAUGGCUUUUGGAUCAUCUAGCAUAGAAAUAACAGGUUUUGUUCUAUCUCAAAAUGCAGGGUGUUACGUUAUCUCCCCCUUGGGAUCAUUCGUCCCCAAAUGAUGGGUAGGAGUGUUGAAGUCUUUAAGGUAUGGAAUAACAUGGACAUGAUAUGUAUUCUAAGAAAGGAUAUAGAUGAGCUGAAAUAUUUAAACUUCUAUCAUGAAACUGAAUUCUGAGCUGACUUGACUUUACUUGCUUUAAGGAGCUGAUUCAUGCUGAGAGUUUAGGAUUCCCUUGAAGUGUUCAUGAUCAAAUCAUACAUAAUAAAUUGAGAAGUGAUAACUUAUGCAAGUAAGAAUCAUGAGAUAACUAGACUUAGAUCGUAUCAGGGUAUUAUACUGUCUAAGAUAAAAUACUUGGGAAAUUUGAGAUUAUGCGCUGAACUCUUAUGAACUGAGUCAUGACUAAAUAGCUGAAUCUAAAAUAUUAUGCUUUGACUAAACUAAAUUCACAACUUAUAUGGAUGGAAUAGAUUAUCUCUUGGGAUGGUCAUACGCCUGAGACUUCAGAUAGUAGGACUAGGUGAAAAGGUAGAAAACCACCGUAACUUGCCUGCCUGACUGUUAAACUGAAUUACACUGAAAACUUAUACUUAAUCAAAGUAUCUCUUCAACACUCCAUUCUAAAGAAGUUCUAGUAACAUCAGGAAGCAAAGAAUCUUGGGCAUGUGUUACACAAGACAUUUAUCUAAGGAAUCACAACAAUGACACCACUCCAUAGCAUGGAAUAUAAACAUAUAACUCAUAAACUAGGAUAGACUUACCAGGCCUUAGGCAAAGGAACUUUUUGUUUUCAAGCUUAGUACACUUCUCUAAUACUCCCUUAACUAUACUAUUCCCUUUAAAUACCAUGCUCAUUUGAUUCAAUCUUCUAUAUAUUUUUAGAGAUCACACCCUAAGCACAAUGUGCCUUACCCCUUCAAUGACGAACUAUGAACUCUUACAAUGGAUUCACUAGUGCAUAUUGCGUUCCUCCACUUAAAUCCCAACAUGUCAUCCAAGCCCAUCUUUAUAACCACAGAUGAACUUCAAGACAAACACCUAUAAAGACAUACUUCACAUAUUAUCUAAACCACUAUCAAUAUAACUCCCUCGUGCUACCCCAAGAACACACACACACAACUUUCAACUAACCAUCACAUAUAUCAAAGACUUGGACCCAAAUCUGACUUCACACUAAUGGCCUUAUCUAAAACAAGCAUACAAUGGUCUUCCAUCAACAAGGAACAUUUACUCAUCACCACUAUCAUCACAUAAGGAGGAGUCACUAAAAGGUUAGAACAUAAGACCUUGAAGCAUGGAAGGAUAUUAUAUGAGACUUGACACUUAACUGAGGCCUGAGGAACAGUGAAUCAACAUCAUGGAUUCAUCAAAGUGGUCUGAGUUGAGGGCAUACCUGGCUAUAAGCUGAAUCUCGCCAAUCAUUUGGCGUGUAGUAUGAUUUAUGGAAACCGAGCAUACUAUAAAGCGUGAGUACAUGAGUCAUGAGCUGCAUGACCUCAACUUGGAGUUCAUAACUUACGGAAUGUGAUUCCGACUACUGAAAUGAACUGGAGCUCCUCAUUUUAGAACUGGAAGAGUACAUAAUUCUCUAUCAUAUGCAUGAACAUGAACUAUGAUCAUGGAACCGAAAUGUAAGGUAUGAGUUAUGUAUUAGGAUAACUGAAAAAUACUGAGAUAAGAAUGGGUUGAGCCUCACCCUCACUUCUGAUGUUCUAUAUCAUACUCGCAUUACUACUAAAUUCUGAGAGCCUGCCUUGGUUACUUGUUCUAUCAUCUCCCCCUUAGCUUUAAGCCAUCAUCUUAAGUUUGAGAGAUCCCUUACCAAACUCUAAACUAAACCACACUAAAUGCACUUUGGGAUCUGGAAUACGACAAUACACGUAAUCAAAUAAAACGUAACCCGAAUAACUACACUGGAAGUGGGAAAACCCACUGCUAAUACUACCAUCUGAGAUACACUCUAUCUUUCUAUAGCUCCCCAAUAGUCAUCAUAUAAUACUUGAACACUUACUAACUUUGAAUCUUCAUGAGUAUCCCCAUAGCCAGAGUGCACACCCUAUAGAGCUUCAACUCUUAUUUCUGUCGGUUCAACUUUCAAAAAUUCAAACUUAGAUUCUAACACUUAACAUAGAUAUCACCAAGCCUUUGAUGAAUCAUACUACUUUUGACAUAGCCUACCAAUAUCAUGACUCCAAACUUUUAUCUCUCUACUAUGAGAAUCAAGAUCAUAUCAAAAGGCUUAACUUUAUCAAUCAAAACUCCUUAACUUGGCUAUUUAGAACACCAUAUACCAGCUAACUAGUCUUUCUCCCCCUAGCAACUCAACAGUACCACUAGCCACACACAAUAUGUAAUAGCCUUAGAAAAAUACCGCAACCUCAUAUCACCUUGGUAUACUUCUACUUCACAGAUAAAACAUACUUCAUUACGAAUUAAAUAAACUUAAGCUCUUGCAUGCACUAUUCAAGCCUAUUAGAUCGCUUUUAUAAAACUAGUAUCAUUAACCAAGAAAUAAUCACAUCCACCUUCAUGGCCAUCAAUUGUUCAAACUUAAUGUCUAGUGCUAAACAUGAUUUACAACCCUACCUUACAAUUCUCACUUGGAAACUACGAAAUAAAACAUCAAGAAACAAUAGUACACUAGAACUACUAGCCACAAUAAUCGAUCAUGACCUUGCUGUUUUCCUUAUUAUAAUUCAUUAACAUGCACUAUUUCAAUACAUCAAGCCUAUAGUCUAGCAUCAAUAAUCUACCACCAAUGAAGAAUGCAACAUAAUAUAAUAGUCCAUCAAAUUGGGAUAUUCUACCCAAAUAUCUCAUUUUAUUUAGAUAUAACCCACAACCAAAGCACCUUUAUAACAUCACUGCUAUGCCUCAAAAUCUACUGCAUACCUUCUCACAAGUAGUACUAGUUUAAAACUACCAAAUAAAAGAAGGUCAAGGGGGUAGAGUCACAUAAUAGACAUAGUCAACCUUAAUCUUAUAUUAUAACUCCAUACAAUCUUAUCUACUUAUACGAUUUUCUCACAUCACACUUACUUACCUAAGUGUACAUUUAGACUACCUUCAAACACCAUAAACAACCAUGUGACUAUAAUUAUAACUUAAUGGCUAAUCUAGCUAUUUUCAUACUUCCAGCAAACAACAACUCACCUUAGCUAAUAACUCCUUCUCUACCUUCUAUAAACUAACACACAAAAAUGUAUCACUUUAUUACCAACUCAAUCUCAUGCAAAAAGAUUCGGCUAUACAUACAUUCAAUAAAUUUUCCUUACCACUGUUCAUGCCAUUACGCCUCUAAACCCCCAGUUCCAACCAACACAAGAAUUAACAAGAUGAAUAACAAGUUUCUAGUGAAUCGAAAUUGGCCUUAUAUGACUUUACUAGAUUCUAAUUUUGUGUUUUGAACAAGAAAAUGAGAGGAAUGACAUGGCACCUAUGCUAGUGAAUCGAAAGAGCCCAACACGGCUUCACUAGACUUUUAGUUUCAACAACACAAUGAUAACAAGAUUACAAGAGAUAGAAACUUGACACACAAUAAUCAAUGAUCUAAGAAUACAUAUCUUACUCUAUAUAAAUAAAAAUCUGAGUCAAACACUUCCCCCACAGACUACUAUACAAUCCACACAUGCUAUUAGCUACCACAUUAGUUUAUCACUAUAAUGGGGUAAAUCAUCCUCAAACAUCAGUUAUUCAAUUAAAAUAUUUAUUUAUAUAAAAGUCACCCUCACUCUGACUUUUAACUUUGUGACUUCACAUCACCAACUUCUUGGUCCAACAUCACUACCAAUAGGUUAUGACACCAAUACUUAACUUAUACUACUACUUGGGUGGAAAUACAGUUCCAACAUUUGCUACACAUUAUCUCUCUCUUAAGCAUGACAUCUACAACAUAAAUUUUUGAAAAGGACCGAAUACAUUUAAUACCGCAGGCUGAAAAGCAUGAUUUCAACAAGAUCAAGGUUCACACUAGAAUCAAAACACUCUGACUCACUAACGAAAUCUUCUCAAGUGCUUGCAUAAUUUUUAAAAUCUUAUAUGAUUCAAUCAGAAAGAACCAUGUCAUUUAGACUCUAAACUUCUGUACUUAAAUCACCCCAAUAAUGAGACAUGUAUGAGAACAUCAGAGUAAGGAAAUAAUUGGGAUGACUGUUACUUUCGUAUGGGUGACACCAUAGCAUAAAUUAGAGUAUGAAAGAGGAACAUUCUGACUCUAUUGCAUGAACUAGAAUAAGAAGAAAGAUAGAUAUUCCUAAAUGCCUUGUAGCCUCUUGCUUAUAAGUGUGGUGCGCUACACACCCAUAAACAAGACUCUAUCCGAUGCGAUUUCACAGAUACCCUGGGACCAUAAAUCGUGCUCUGAUACCAAGUUUGUCAUGAUCUAAAUCGGGGCCCUGACCGUGAUGGACAUCCCAAGCCAUAAAGGCCCGAGAGCCGUUCUAACUUGUAACCAUAUACACCAUUCAUAUACAAAUAGAAAAUGUAGAAAAAUACAUAAUAAAAUGGAAUCAUGGUCAUAAGUCUGAAUUUAAUUUAUACUAUAGAAAGUAAAACCCAACAACAACUAGAUAACGUCUGAACCAGUCUGUAAAAUCUCUUAUACAUUAUCAAAUCAAAGAUGUCUGAAAACUGGGACAACGCCCCCAGUAGACCAAAACCAUAAUAAAUGAUAAAUGACUAAAAAAAACUAGGCCUUCUGAAAUAUAGAAGGCUAACUAACUGAACUCUACACUUCUGCCGAAAGAAAUCUACUACUUAUUAGGACCCCUAAAUUGAGCCUCAGAACCUGGGAGGGUAGGGGGUCAAUACAAUUGUACUGGUACACAAAGAAAAUCCAAAAUAAUACUUUACAUUCAACAUAUAUGAUAGCAAUUUAAAAACAGUUCAUAAAUAUAUCAUAUGGUAAGAAAUCACAUGGGCAUUUUUGAAAGACUCUGUAAAAUCAUUUGAACUUUGUGAUACUGUUUAUUUAACUUAUGCGCUAGGUGGUACACCCUAUAAUUUCACAGUUUUCACCGACUAACUUAUCUUGGUUGCCACCAAGAUAGGAGUUGUAAUAGCUCAGGAAAUUUUUCAUUGAAAUUUUGUGCAUAAACAUGUUGGGUUCUAUCUUCUAAAAUGAAUUAUAAAUUUUUUGUGUGGAAUGUCUUAUAUUAUGACCCACCAUUACGUACAGUAUUGAAUAAGAUUUCCAAAUAUAUGUGGAUCAUCCAAAACGGACACCCAAACGACGAGUUAUGAGCAUUCCGAUCGAACUGUGAAUAGUAGUGAACAGUAAAACAUGCAGGAAAAAGUACUGAGGCCUAGUGUAUUUUUGCUCGAACUUUAACGAUCAUAACUCCUUGUACAUAAUGAUCUGGGUGAUCUACUAUAUAUCAAAGGAAAGCUCUACAAGUUCUCUUUCCAAUGAAAUUAGUUUCAUCCAAUUUGCCUAUCAGAGAAAAAAGUUAUGGUCGAUCUACUUCAGCCUAUCAAAAGUAAAUUUUUGGGUUAACUUGAAAUGAUCAUAAAUCCUCGUACACAAUGAUAUGAGUGAGAUACUAUAUAUCAAUGAAAAUAUAUGAGAGUCUUCUUUCUAAUGAAAUUGGUUUUAUUCAAUUUGGAUAUCGGAGUAAAACAUUAUGAUUGAUCUACUUCAGACUAUCAAAACAGUCUACCAAAGGACAGAUUCGAGAAUUUUUUUGAUUUUUAGGGGCGUUUUCGUCAUCCCCCCUCACCCAAAAUCCAUCCAAACCCUAUAUUAAAGUUUAUUAGAAGCAUUAUAUGUUAUAUUUCAUCAAAUUCCCUUAAAAAUAAAACCCUAAGCUCUUACAUCCAACUUCAAGAACCUCCAAAGUUCACCAUUAAUUCUUCAAAUUUAUUCAAAAUUCCAAGUUCCUACUUCAAGAACGCCAAGAACCAUCAUUCAAAGGCACGACUAACAUCUCAAAAAUGAGUAUCAAUCUAAAGUUCAUCAUUCAAGGUAUGUGGGAUUUUUCAACAAGAACUCUCUUUCGUUCUUGUGCCCAAAAGUAAUUUUCUUUACAAAGGCAUGAUUUUUAUUUGAUUUUUUAUGAAUUUGAAGCAUGAACCCAUAUCUUAUGAUGAUUAUUAUGAAAUCUUGAUGUUUAUGAUUUUGAAAGAUGAAUUUACAUGUGUGGAGAUAUAAAGCAUGAAUCUUGAACGAUAUUUAUCAUGAUUUUGAUAGUUGGGUCGUGAAUCCCCUUGGAAAUUAUAUUUUUUUGAGAAAGUGUGUGUUAUAAGCACGUUGAUGUUGAAUAUUUGAGAUAUUUUGAAUGAUUUGACCUUUUGGUCUUAAUGGAGUUAUUUUGAACUCGAGUGUGAAAGAAAUCCACAACGUGGUUGAUUUUGAUAGAUGGGAAGCAUGAUGGCUCCCGAUGUAUAUUUAUAUAUUACUGAAAUUGUUUUGUUGUGGAUUGUCUUUGAAAUGAUCUGAGCUAAGUCUGGGAGAAAUCUUUAGCACCGAGUGAGAGGUAUAAAGCGACCUUACUUCCCUAGCACUACGUGCCCCAUGGGAGUGAGCCUGAGGCUGAUUUAUAUAGUGAUCACUAGUUUGUGUGGAUUUGAUAUCGAUAGUCCUACUCUGAUGGCAAGGAUAGGAUGGCUCUCUCCAACGUGGGUUGUAUGUUGGACUCAACAUAGCUUACAUGGUUUCCACUAGGUAAUUCACUAGGAGUGAGCUCAUUAUCUUUAAACGAGAUAUUGUUCUUAAAGAGAAAAUGAUCUAUCCAUAAAGAGGAUGUAGAAUGAAAUUCCAUUCUCUAAAACACCAUUAUUAAGUAUCAAAGAUGUUUCAAGCAUUUGAUUAUUUCUAUGAGCCAAGCAAGCAUUAGGAUUUUUACUAAAAGUCAAGCUCAAAGGGUUACUGUCAUUUUCUUGACCAACAUUCUCAAUUUCAUCACUUACUUGAGGUUCUAUAAUCAUAUUAAACAUAUCCUCUAGCGAUGGACUAGUUCCGUACACAAGUUGAUCAAUACAAUUUCCAUAAGAUGACGUACUAUCAUCCAAUACAAUGGCUUCAACACUAAGUGGACAAAAAUUGAUCUUACAAGAAGAGUCAAUUCGAUCAUCAAUAGGAUCAACUAGUGUAUCCAUAAUCACAAUAUGUACAUCAACAUCAAGAAAAAAAUAAUUAGUAGACUCACAUGUACGUAAGAUACUAAUCACACUCAAUGAGCUACUAGCCACACAAUCAUCAUUCUGUAAGACCCUGCAAAAUAUUACAUUGAUAAUCAGCUCUUCUAGCUUCUAAAAGCUCAUUGGAAGGUCCAACACUUAGAAUAUUUUAGCUAGGUGUUCAACACUUAGUCUCAUUUUAAGCCUUAGAACUUUGGGGAUUUAGUUGAUGACCUUUCUGGACUUCAUUUUCUAAUUUUCAAGUUGUGUUGCGAUGGGGCAAGCCAAUAGUACAUUUUGGGUGAGUUUCAGAAUUUUUGAAAUCCGUUUAGGGCAUGUUUGGAUUUCGAACCAGGAGCUAAAGGCUAUAAAGGUGCGCCACCCAGCUUAUAGCCUUGGCCCCCUCCCUCAAUAGCAAGGCUCCGACAAGCUACAAAAAGGCUCUUGGAAAGGCGCCGUUUUGCUAUAUCCACCUUCGUGCUUUGAGGGGUAAUUUGGUUAAUUUUCCACCCUUAUAUAAGUCUCAAACACGAAAUUAAGCCCUCAAAACACCAAAUUAUACUCUCUUUCCUCAAUUUCUCUCAAGAAAAAGAGCAAGGGUUUCAACUUGAAGACCCAAGUCCAAGAGAUUUCAUCGUAGAUAUUUAAGGAACUUUCCAUCUAAGGUAUGCAUGGUGUUCAUUCAUGGAUCCCUUUCAUCCAUGAAGCCCAAUAAUCCUCUUUUAAAUGUUAUAUCAUGAUAUUUAUGUAGUGAAUUGAUUAUUUUCAUGUUGUUAUGGUUGUAUGACUACCAAUAUUUAAUCUUUAUCAUGCUUUCAUAAAACCAUGUUAGUAUAGGGUUGAAAUUCACGCAAUAGAGUUAAAUGGUGGAAUCAUAUUGUAUUUAAUUGAUGAUCAUACCUAUGACCUAAAUAAUGCAUGCAAGGUGUUUGAUGAAAUGCCUAGUAUAGUAGAAAUCAUGAAUAAAGACUCAAUUGUAGUUUAUAUGAUAAAUGCAUGCCAUUUACUCAUGUUCAAUAUGACUCCCCUAUAAUUGAUUAUGCAUUAUGCUUGCUUGAUAAAGUGUUCAUUAGAAGUGUAUAGUUAAGCCAUGAUUAUUUGCUCCCUUGCCCAUGUAUAAGAUUAUGACAAUCAAGUGCCUCAUGAAAUAAUCCCAACUAUUUUAUUAUGUAUUGUUGAGGUUGGUCAUGCAUUCAAGAAAGCCAUGCCUUGUCAGUUUCAUUCUAUCAAGUCUUAGGGGUACUUGUACCCGACAAUUUAGUUGUGUGCCUAGAGUCAUGUCAUGUUUUCAUAAUACUCUCAGUCCAGCCAUGAUCCAUAGAACUCAGUCAGUCAUGUGACUCGAGAAAACCCAGAAAUCUCAGAAAUCUUAGUAAUCUCAGUAAUCUCAAUAGUUCAAUAAUCUCAGUGAUCUUAGUACUCAGUAAUAUCGGUAACCUCAGUAUUCCGAGUAAAUUUCAAUAACUUUAGUACCCUCAGUUAGUCCUCAGAUCUCAGUAGCAUUCCGUCAGUCAAUGAAACUCAGUGAACUCAGUUUAGCUCCGCUAAACAAUACCAUUAGUAUCAGUUUAGUUUAGUUAAUCAGUUUAGUGUCUAUUCAGUUGGGAGUAGGAUUCAGCACCGAGUGAACCCAUGGAUAGGGACUCACCUAUUAGUCAGUAGAGGGUGUGAUCCUUAGAAGCAAUCCUUGCGUUCCAGAACUACAUAGCCAAUGUAGGUUGAGAUGCACCCCUAUACGUAGGGCUACUAAUACAUCUCGUUUGGGGUUAUGCCUAUAGGAGGGUUGGUGGAAGAGCUUCCUAUCAGAGAAGGUUACCUCACAGUUUAUCUUUACCCGUGGUACGGUAUUGACACCCUUCCAGUUGGGGUUACAGGUUGGACCCUAAUAGUUUAGUUUUGGGGCAUGUUGGUUAGAUGAUUACCUCCCAUAGUCUCAGUUUCAGUCUCAGUCUUGGUAAUAGAACUCAGAUAGUUCUACGUGUUCAGGACUGUCAGAUACAGUCACCUAGUACAGUACAAAACUCAACUAGUUCCAUUAAAACUUAGACUGUCAGAUACAUUCACUCAUGUUAUCAAUUAUAUCAGUUAUCAGAACUCAUGUUAUCAGUAUUCAGCUUCAGGAUCGUCAGAUAUAGUCAACCAAACCAGUUCUUCAUAAUUAGAACUAUUAAAAAUAGUUAUUCAUAUACCAAUAAUGUAGUAUCAGUUCCUCAGUAUUUAGUAUCCCAGCUUUAGUAAACUCAGAUGUCUAUAAAUCUAUAUUAUCAGUAGACUCAGUAGUCAGAACUUAGUAUUCAGUCCUAUCACGAUCUCAGUUAUGAUUAUGUAUUCAUGUAUGUAUUUUCACAUUCAUGUUAGUAAGUCAGUUAGUAUUGUUCAUGCAUAUGACCCCCUUGCAUUCAGCCUACCUGACUUUUAUAACAGUACAUUUAAAGUACUGACGCAUUUGCACUAUGGUGUCUUAUACCAUAGGUUCAGAGACACGAGCUCCAAAGCAUUAGUAGAUUCCAGAUAUCAGUAGUCAGUCAGCAGUAAGUCCUCAUCCUUCGAAGAUGAUAUCAUUUGUUAUUUCAUUAGUUCAGUACUUAGUUAUUUCAGCAGUUGGAGUUAGUUGGGGAUAUAUCCCAUCAUCUCCUUGUUCAGAUGGUCGGUUUUAGAGGCUUUCAUACUAAGGUGUGUUCAGAUAGUUAUUUUGGUUAUUUUGGUAUUGUUAUACCAUAUUUUUAGUUAUGUAUCAGCAUUGAACCUUACGGCCUUUCAGUUCAUGUUUCCGCAUUUACGAUAUUAUUAUUAUCCAGUGCUUAGUUACAGAUAUCAAUCAUGGGUUAGCUUGUGGUCCUUCAGGGUCAUAAGCACCGUGUAGCAUUCUGAGUACCAGAUUUGGGUUGUUACAUAUUCAUAUGCAUAAAAGUGUAAGACUUAGAUAUGUUACCUUGAAGUUAUUGAGCACAUUCUUCUUUACCUUGGGGUGAAGGUCCUCCACAAGCCUCGGAAGCAUCUAAGAUUUCUCUCAUCAUGUCUUCAAAGGGAAAUUUCUCUUUUUGGUACUUGUUCUCCUCCAUUUUCCAUAUUGGUACCUACAUACAUGUCCUUAUUAACAGAAGGACAAACAAUUUUAGAUCCGAUUGGUGGAAACCCUCUUACUUCACUCCUCACAACCUCUCUUUUUCUCUCUCUUAGGUUUCCACCUUGUACACCCUUAGGCUUAGAGUAAGUGGUCAUAUUUCCUUGAUAAUUGGGAAAGGUAGGUGGAAAGAGAUGAUUUCCCCAUUGGUCCUUUGCAAACUUAGGCUAAUUUUUCAUAUUUGGAAUCUUGUGUUGUGCAAACCAAUCAGCAUUCAAACGUAUAUGUCUGCAUUCUAAUGGGAAAAUAUCACACCACGCAUCCUCAUAGUACCCAUCUCAGGUGAAGAAAACCUUAACACUCUCAAAGACUCUAUAGCCUUCCAAGAAGUAUGGCAACGCUUGGACACUCGAGGUAUUCCUAGAUAAUCAACCAUAAGAGGAGUUAUGUAGUUUGCAUGAAACCAAUUAUCAAAUAUAAGAACAAAACUCAAAACUUCACAAAUCUCUACCCAUCUUGAUCAAGGUUGUCUUCUUGGAUGACUAUUAUAAAGCUUCGUAUAAACCUUCGGCACAUAUAUUGGCCUUAAGAAAUCUUUUAAGGCCCCUCAAGUUUUAGUAGGAUUCUUUGCAAGUUUACACCAUUCUAAGGUUGGACCUUGAAUGUACUUAUGGGCAUUUUAGCUUGUUCGGCUUUGCUCAUAGCAUAAUCCUAGAAGACUCUUUCACAUUGCCACUCCUGAUCAAGGUAAACUUUGGGAUCCCGUUCUCCUUUAAAGAUGGAUAGAGUAGGAAGACAAUGACUCCUGCUAUACCCUCUAUUUCUACCUUGGUUCCCACUUCCACAUGUUUGGGCACUAGAACAAGAAGCUUGAGAUGUAGUAUCCCUAGGAUUUUGAGAUGCACAUGUCUUUAGUCCCAUGGAUCAACCUAUACUAUAGCUAGUAUAACCAUUUACACCACUUCACCUUUGAUAAGAAGCAUUACAAGGUGAGUAAUAUGAAUCUUCAUAAUCCUCACGUACAUUCUCACCAUAAUCCUCACUCGAUUUGUAAAUGAAUGAGUUAUACCUUACAUAACCUUUAGGAUCAAAGUGGGAAGUGUAAUACUUCUCACAUGCCCCAUCUUCCUCAUAAGAACCAACAUAAGGAUCUUCAUCAUCUCCAUACUCACAAUAAGAACUAGGAUCAUAAUUCAUCUCACAUUCUCCUUCGGAAUAGUAGCCCUAAUUUUCAUUCAUCUCUUGAUUAUGGCUACAUUCAUAGCCCCAUAAUCUCCAUAUUCUUCAUAGCCAUAACUAUAUUCACCACAAUCAUAGUCUCCUUUGUCGUAGUCAUAAUUUUUCGAGGCUAUCGAAGACAUGAUUCCUUAUAUCACCAUGUACCUACAAAAUGAACAAGUAAGAUUAGUAGUAAAGCUCCUCACCAACACUCGUAAUAAUCUCACCUUUGUGAUCCUCACAAUCUAAGAGGCAAAUGUUGAAAGUUUCUCAUACUCCGGUGUACAAUAAGGUAUCAAUAUCUACUUUACGGCUGGAGUAGAUUCUUGUUUGAAACAACUCAAAGAAAAAGAUGUACGAACUUGAUUCAAGUAGCUAUGAUGAAUUAAAAACUAGAAAAGAUUCAAAGAAAUUGGACGAUGAAUAAAUUCGGAGUCAAGAACUAAUCAUCCAACUUAGUAAGUGAAUUACUAGUUGUUUAUAGUUUUUAAGAAUCAAGAAGAGAUUUAAGAAUCAAGGAAUGAAACUAUGUAAUCAAACCUGUGCAAAUUGGAGUUUAGGAGUAUUAAAAUGAAUUUGAAACUUGAAUUAGAUGUUGGGAAGGCUUGAGAUGUGUUCAAAAUAGGUUGGUGAUGUAUUCAAGAGCGAUUCCUUGACGUGUGGCCGCACCUUGGGUGCAUUUAGAGAGAAGGUUGGACACAGGAGGAAUAUGCUCCUGAGCUGUGGCCAAUCUGCGACCAAUCUGCUGAAGAAGAUGCAACACAGGUCACUCUAGUGCCUUCUGCUCCUAAUCUGUGGCCAGCCUGCUAUCAAUCUGCUGAAAUAGAUGCAACAAUGGCCAAGGCAAUAAGGCUAGAAUUUCAGCUGAGCUUUUCAUAAAUAUGGGCCUCCUUUGCCUCCCUCUUAGGUAUAUUCUUUAGGACCUUCAAAGGUGCUUGUACACACACUUUUGUACACCUUUUUCUUCACCUUUGAGGAUCAAACAACCAUCUUUUCCAAUAAUUCCUCUUGAAGAUUUGAAUUUUUCCAAGAACACUCAAGAACACCAAAGCUUCAAAAAUCUCUAUCUUUUAAACCGUUGGUUGAACUAUGACAAAAUUUUGAACCAAGGCUCUUUUAAACCUUCUAAACACAUUCCAAACAUUAUUUUGUUCAAAUUCACAACCAAAUAUUCUAGAUUUUCAACUCAGAUUAAACUUCAUCAACCCCAACUUCCAAUAGGGAUAGAAUAGUCAAAUAAGCUGGGAUUUGACUCAAAUUUUGUCUAUAGACUCGUACAGUGUUAGAGAAUACAAAUAUAACAAUGGAAACACAAGAAAAAAACACAAAAUAAAAUCUCAAAUUUUGACCUAAGACCAAAAAUAUGAAUAGUAACUUUUUUUGGAAUUUUUAAUUUUGACACUUCUUUUUUCUUGAUUUGCAAGAUAACAAACCCGAGAUUGACUUCAUAGGAAUGAAAUCAAACUCAGCUCUGAUACCAAAUAUAUAAAAUGAUACUUGAGUAAUCUACGAAGAUGAAAACAAAAACACAAACAUAAGAAUUGAUGAAAUUGAAGAACGAAAUGAAAAAGGAUGAAAGGAUAGAUGAUAGAAAGAUAGCCAUAAAAUUAAUAACAAAAGGGCAAUCUAAGGGUAUGUCAAACCCUGAAACCUCCCUUUAUGGAUUAUCAAUGAGCACCUAGCUCUUACGUGAUCACAAAGGGAUUAGAUCCUCCUUACUACCAACGUUUCUAAAAAAGGUUCAACAUGAUCCCCUCGCUAGAUAUCACAUACCCAAGAAAAAUCACAACACUUAACAAAAAUUCACUCUUACAAAAUUUCAAAUACACCUCUAAUUCAUAAGAGUCUAUGACAUAAUUCGGAGGUAAUUUGCAUUAUCCCCUCACUUUUGGAGUACACCGAGAUGUCAUCAAUAUGAACUAUGACAAAAAAAUUCAGAAACUUUCUAAAUACCUGAUUUAUAAGGUCCAUGAAAGCACUCGGAUCAUUAGUCAAUCCAAACAACAUAACCAAGAACUCAUAGUGGCCAUAAAGGUUAUAGAAAAUAGUUUUUGGAAUAUCAGCCUCCCAAAUCUUCAAUUUAUGAUAACCCGAAUAGAGAUCUAUUUUAGAGAAACACAUAGCAUCCUAAAGCUAAUCAUAGAGGUCAUAAAUCCUUGGAAGAGGGUACUUAUUUGUCAUAGUAACCUUAUUCAACUGACUAUAGUCUAUAAACAUCAGAAGAAACCCAUCUUUCUUUCACAAAAAAAGCACAGGAGCACCCUAAGGAGAAACACUGGGAUGGAUAAAACCCUUAUCAAAAGAUAUUUUAAAUUAUCAUUUAGCUUCUUUAGCUCUACCGAAGCUAUCCUAUAAGGAGGAAAAAAAUGGGAUGGUGUCCAAUAGAAGAUCAAUUCCAAAGUCUAUUUCCCUAUUGGCUGGAAUCCUAGGAAGAUCAUUGGGAAAAAUUUUGGGAAACACACUAAUCAUAGGAAUAAACUGUAGGGAAGGAAUUUCAUAGUUAGAAUCUUUGACCAAACUAGAUAGUACAAACACCCCAUGGAUAUUAUCCUUUGAUCUCUAGGAUAAGAAAUAAACUUCCCUCCCAUUCUAUCACCAGUUCAUUAGGAAAAUGAAAAGUGACCUUUCUGGUCCUACAAUCUAGAGAUGCAUAGCAUGAAUAAAGCCAGUCCAUCCCUAGGAUUACAUCAAAAUCCACCACAUCAAGCUCUAUUAAGUCUGUUAAUGUCUCCCUAUGAAGGAUGGACAUGACAUAACCCAUAUAGACUUUUCUAGCAACUAUGGACUCAUCCAUCAUAGUAGAAACAAAAAAGGAGUAAAAAAUACUUUUGGGACUAAAUCCAAAUUGUACAUCCACAUAAUGAGUCACAUAGGAUAGACUGAAACUAGAUCAAGCAACAUAUAAACAUUACGAGAGAAAAUCUAUAAUAUACCAAUGACGACAUUAGAGGAUGCCUCAGAUUCAUAAUGAGUAGAAAAGGCAUAAAGGCAAUUUUGGCUAUUUUUUGUACUUGAUUUAGUAACCUUAGCUGCAGGAGUAGAUGAAGUAGCGACCGGAAUCUUAUUAUCCCCGUUGGCAACCCUAGCUAAAGGAUAAUCUCACUACCUAUGACCAACCAACCCUAACUAAAGUAUAAAUUCUUUCCCUCCUCAUGAUAUCCACGAUGAAGCCUCCCACAAAAAUAGCAAAGAAGGUAAGGUGGGGACAACUGAGCCCCACUAGCUAGAGAUUGGGUACUUUAUUCCCUAGGUCCAUUUUUAGUCUAGAAAUGUCGAUUACCUAAAGGCUUAGGUGCAAAAGCACUAGCUGACGAAUAAGAAUUUUCCCCAAGUAUUCUUUGGGAACCAUCGUCUACCAUCUUUCCCACUGUUCUACUGGUUCACAUCCUGCUCUGCAUACUUAGCCUACUUGUUUUGUUUUUUCCCUAAUUCAACCUGCUCCAUCUUCUUAUCCUCCAUCUACUUUAUAUAAACCACUAGCCUUGAUAUAUCUAUGUCAUUGUUCAGUAUAGCUACCUUAAACUCUAACACCAAGUCACGAGAAAGAAGAGAAGCAAAAUUCUUCAUUAUAGACCUCAUAUUGGACACCAUAUUAGGAGGAUAAUGGGAUAGUUGGGUGAACUUCAAUGAAUACUCCUUAGCACUCAUCUUACCAUGCUUUAGAUUCACGAACUCUUCAGCAUUGUCUUCCCUCAACUCCUGGGGAAAAAACUGAACAAGUAAAGCACUCAAGAACUCUUCCCACACCAUAGGAUCUAUUUCAUCACCCCUUAACUUUUCUUACUCAUCAUACCACUAGUAAGCCAUCUUUUUCAACUCAUAAGCUGUGAAAUUCUACACCCUUUGAAUUAGUAGCAUGCAUAAAUCUAAAGAUUUUUUCCAUCUUAUCAGUAAACCCCUAAGGAUCCUCCUCAACCUUAAAAACUAUGAAAGUUAAUGGAUUUAUCCUCAUAUAUUGGCCAACUUGAAUGACAUCAUAUGAACUAGUGACAGGACCAAAAUGAUCUGAUUGAUGAGACUACGAUGUCACAAUCUAGGAAAAUAUAUGAAUAGAAUGAUGAAACUCACCAUUAGAGACAUCUCUUUGAGGGGACUGAGUGUGAGUAACACCAUCUCGAGAAUCUUAAGAAGGGCUAGUAGGGACCAGUGGAACCCUAGGUGUAGUAGUGAAGUCAAUAGUAUGGGCCCUAUGCCAACUCUGCAUUCCAUGAGUAGGGUGAACUUCCUCUGUAUUUUCCCCAGUUAGGACGGAGGUUCCAGCUGAGUUCCUACAAUCGUCAAAUCUUUGUGGAGGCAUGAUCUAAAAUGCACGCUUACUUGCAUAUAUUAUAACCAUAAAUUCUAUCUAAAAUAGGCCCUAUGGCACGCUAUACACCUACAAAUAAGAAUCUACUCAACAUGGCUUAUAGACAUCCAGUAACCCUGAAUCAUGAUUUGAUACCAAGCUUAUCAUGACCCGAACUAAGGUCCUAGCCGUGACGGACACCCCAAGCCAACCAAGGCAUAGGAUGGACCCUUAUCCUUACACCAUAAGCAUGAUAGUAUAAAGAAAUUACAAAAUCAAACCCAUGAAAUAAAAUAUUUCAAUAAUAAAUCAAAUAAAAACUAAAACUUGGGGUCGAAUCUAGAAAAACAUAACCUAGUACAGUCUAUAAGCCUCUAUCCAUAAAAUAUCUAUAAAGUUAGGACAGAACCCCAACAAUGCCUAAAGAAAAUAAGAAAAGUGGAUAUAACCAAUGAUAAAAAAGUAACAGCCUUUCAAAGGAUGAAGGGCUCACCACUUCUCACCAAAUUCUCAAUGGAAAGACAAACCACCUAAUGAUGCACAAUGUCAUAAAAAAAGGCCUUCGAACCUACACUGUGAAAUAAUACAGUGUUCGAGGAUGGUCAAAUGGUGAGUACUGAUAUGCAACCCAAGGAAAGUGAUAAUAUAUAUAUUUACUAAAAACUAGUUAUAAAACAUAUGAUCAACAACCAUUAAGAUAAUAUAAUAUUAGGGAAGAGGGCAAAGUACAUGAAACAUGACCAUUUAAAAUUUAAUACUGAAUUGUGUAUCUCGCACCAAUCUUAAAACACCCACGGUCUAUAUGGGUCUGACUCCCCCCACCUGAAGGUCCCCAAUCCAAGUUAGCCAUAUGGAUUGAGGAAUAGGUUAAAGUCACCAAUAGACAAUAACCUCCCAAAGAAUAAUUGUGCACUACUGUGUGAAUCAAGCACACAAUGGUCAUCCAUAUUUUAGGACAAGACACCUCCCCCUCCCCAACGUCGAAAAUGUGAUUUCAAGUGUUGGUCCCCCGGGGACAACGCUAUCUCGGUGAACUAAACAAUUCCCAUUAAGUCCAAUUAAAAUAUUUCAUGUACCAUUAACCAUGGAGUUUACCAUUAAGGCAUCCCCACAUUGGUAUCAUCAUACCUAAAGGUUUGAAAGUCGUCCAUAUAAUGCCAUACCAUUUCUAUUUAUCAUUUAAGCUCUAAGUUCAAAUUUCAGGAAAAAACCAAUAUAAACAUUUUCCAUUAAUGUAUGACAAUAUUUCCAAAGAGUGCGCUGAACCCUAUAAAAUCCCCUUUUAAAAUAUAAUUUAUCCAAUAAGUUUUGAUUUAUAUAUUUAUCAUGCCAAAACCAUACCCAUUAUGAAACCACAUUACUAAAUUCAUCCUUUUGUAAUUCACAAUUCAGCUGACACCCCAUCAAUUAAACCAUUAAGACAAGGAAAAAUCAAUACAAUGUGUUUAUCAACAAAAAAUCCACAACCCUAGUUUAAACAAUCAUUAAAACAUGGUAAUAUCAAAUAACUUUCACAAUCUAAAGAUAAUUAAAAAUAAGAGAGUGUCCAACAUGCCUUUACGAUGGGAGAAUUUUGAGGGGAACUUUAAUUUAGAGCCCUGAAGGUUGAAUUCUUCAGAAAGGACCUUAAUAGCUUUAUCUUGGGAGUUGAGAGGAGAAAAAAUGGUGUUGUUCUUUGAUAACUGAUGGGAAAUAAGGGUUAAGGAAUGUUUAAAUUCAAUUAAAAGGGUAAAGGACUAAAAAUCCCUUAAUCUAAAUAAAAAAUAAGAAAGAUCUACCUUUGAGAGUGGCACGCCCUUAUCGCGGAGGCUCCACUAAAAGAGCGUGGCUUGGUCUUAUCAUGGACCUUCACUUGUUUCCAUGAUAAGGGUGUGUCUCCACUACGUGGCACGCCCUUAUAGCACACCCCUACUAUUUUAUGAUCCCAAAAUAUCCCAAAAUGUGAUCGAAAAAAUUUCAAAAUGCAUCCUGAUGGUCUCAUUACCAUCCCUUACCGUAAUUCCACUCAUAAAUUAUCAGUAAAUACUAAGGAAGUACCAAACUAAAUUCCUUGAAAAAUAAUGGGGUUGACACACUUAGGCUCAUUAUUUUGAUGUGUUAUGGGCCUCGUAACACUCAAGUUGUUACAACAUUCAUGUCUUAAGAACCAAAUCCAAACAAAUACCCAACAACUAUCUAUGAAGCCUCUAACUUUAAGAAUAACUCUUAAGUCAAAACAUGGCCCCCGACUAUACCAUAAAAAUUAUAUAAUACUAAAACAAAAUAUAAAUGAAAAGUAACAUUGCCUUCCAAAUGAUGGAGGGCUCACUACUUCUCAACAGUUGUCCAACAGAAAAAUAUGAGCACGCUAGUGUUGCACAGAAUCACGAAAAAAUGCUUUCGAAAAUACAUCAUAAAAUAAUCUAGCAUCUGAGGACGGUCAGUGGUAAUUACUGAAAUGCAACCCAGGGAUAGAAAAUAAAUAUUUUAUAAAGCAAGCCUUAACUCAUUUAAACAUUCAUAGUAAUAAUAAAUAGGGGAUCAGGGACAUGGGAUGUAAAGACAUAACCAUUUAAAACUUAAUCUUGAACUAUUUAGAUUUUCAUCAUUAUCCAAUAAUCAACGAGCUAUAUGGGUCCAAUAAUCCCCAAUCAGUGGGGCCUCAAUCCAUGUUUUCCAAAAGUAUGGAGAUUAGGAUAAAAAUCACCGAUGGACUAGAGCCAAGGGUGGCUCAAACACUAUGGUGGACCAAAGAAAACUUCAAUGAGAUGGCCUAAGACAUUAUAUACAAUAAAGGACUUUUAUAUACAAAGUUAUUAGAAUUCUUAGGCCAUCGAUAUCAUACGCCUAUUGAAAUAGUUUUCAUGAAAAAUAAGUUAUUCAUAGAUUUUUCAAAAAUAAAUUAAUAUAUAUGUUGCAUAAAUAUUAUUAGAUCAUAUUUAUAUGUUGUAGAAGGUACAAACCUUGUUUUCAAGAUUUCAAAUAUCUUUAAAGAGGUAUACCUACAGAGAAAUUUAUAUUGACGAAUGACGAUGUGGGAUAAUUUAAAAUACUUUCUCUAACCCAAUUUAUGUGACACUUUUUGCGUUUCAAGAUUCAAACUUUUGAUUGUAUGCUUAUAUAUAGAAUCAUUACAAUUUACAAUUAAAUUAUUUAUUAUAAAAAAAAAUAACUCAUUUAAUUCUUGAAAUUCAAAAACAAUCACAUAAAUUGAGACAAAAAAAUAUAAUAUAUACACAUGUUAUAAAAUUUUGAGGCCCCCUAAAGCAGCAACUUUAGCUGUUUCAUGCUUCAGCUGGCCCAGACUAGAGCCACUGUAUUAUCCUCAUGUUAAGGACACCAUUCAUUGUCCAAUUAAGGUACGACAUCCCUGUCUCAGUAAAACAUAGGUUUCAAAUAUUGGUCACGAAGAUGUACACCUUCUGAGUGAAGCUACAUAAUUUCCUUUAAGGCCUAAUUAAACCAUUUUACACACAUUAUUUUUCAUGAAGUCUUUUAUUAACGCAUUCCCAUAUUGAUAUCAUCAUACCAAGACUUGAUAACCAUCCAUAACAUGCCAAACCAUUUUCAUAUAAUGUUUUAGACUCACAUAUUCAUCUUUAAAGUUCAUAAACAUAACCCACCAAGUAUUUUCAAAAAGUUAUCUAGCCUUUCAUUCUUUCAUCUCAUACCUUAUUCAAAAGAUGAUGUAAAAAUCAUAAUUUUUGUGAAGAAAAAUAAUGUUUUUAAGUGGUUUGGGCAUCAUAUUUUCAUCUUACAAAAUCCUUAAAGGUUAUAAAUCCAUGUUAACAAGUUCACCAUUUUCAUAGAAUAGAUUACAUGUCAAAACCCAUUAAUAAUACUUAGAAAAUACGAAAAAUAAGAAACGAAAUAAAUAUAAAGUUUUUCACAACAAUCUCACCAAUCCUAGUUUCAAACAAUCAUUAAAGAACACAUAAUAUACAAAAUAAAUGGACAAAAUCUAUUAAUAUGUAAAGUAAUGAGUGUUCAACAUGCCUUUUAGAUGGGGGAGGACGAAGAGGUUCUAAAUAUUCUCUCUUUUUUAAAAAGAUCAUAAUUCAGCAUUCAAAAGGGGUUUUAAGCAUAUAAAAGUUGGACCUCAUAAAAAAAAUAACCAAAAUGCCCCUCAGCUUACACAACAAAAUUUCCCAUAAAUAAGUUCCCAUAGCGUGACCUACAAAUCGCGGGUUGAACCCACGAAUCAUGGGUAGAUUCAUAGGAAUCAGAUUAUUUUUUUUACCUUUCAGGACCUACUCACAACUCAACUCAUGAGUCAUAGGUUGAACCUACGGAUCGUGGGUAAAGUUGUGGAAAUCAGACAACUUGAAAGGACUUUAGUAAACGGCCAUAACUUUUAAUCCAAUAACGGAUUAAGACGAAACUGGAUGCGUUGGAAAGCUAAUUCAAUUAUCUAUUAUUUGGUGGGUAUUGAUCUCAAAAACACUACAUAAUCUAGGAGUUGUACUUAUUUGAAGUUGACUAUAGCAAGACACUUCAUGAGAAAUCAAUUGGUAAGGAAGGUUUUGACUUGGCUAUGAGUUUGGAGUUACUUGAGGCCUUAAUACUUGUAUAAAGCACUUCCAAUACUACAAAGAUGUGAGAUUUCUUUUCACAUGUAUUUGCAUUUUAUACAACAUUGGGUGCCCGAAGGUUAUAAAAUUUUCAAGGUGUUAUAGUAAUGACACAUAAAUUGUUUAGCUUUUUUCUAUUUAUAAUUAACUUCUUCAAUCACAAUGAAAGUCAGCUCUUGUUUGGUAAUAAAAGAAAUUUUCUUAGAUUAUUUUCGGUUGAAAUUUUUGUUUGAUUAAGACUUCUUCUGCUACCGUGGAAUAUUAUGACAGAAAGAACAAUUCACUAUAAUUAGGGAAACUUCUCUGAAAGGUUUUUCUCUUUCUUUGUUUUGACUUUGAAGCAGUAAUUCUAUUUAACUGGGCAUAUCUAGUAACUUUUAGUUGUCCAUUGUGCACAUAUUACAGUGGAGUUUUCAUGUAGGGAAGGUGGAGGGGACUGUUAUUUGAAGGAAUUUCUAGUAAUAAUUGUCACAUCCCAAAAUAAUCCCUAGGCGUGACUGGCUCUCGAUAACACCAAUUGCUAGGGGAGUCAAUUUUCUAUACAUUCACAAUAUCUACAAACACUGAGAUAAAGACAUGUGCAACAACAAGUGCGUGAAAAUAUUAUUAAACGCAAAGUAUUCAUCCACGCGGUUAUCGUAAUACGAUUUAUGAAAACAACAAUACUUAAAUAAUAACUCUCUAGCCUCAAAUCCCACACCAAAAUCAUGGAUCAUCUAAACAGAGUCAUAGGAGCUCAACUUUUGGGCAUCCAAACCCAACAUAAGAAUUAUAAUCUAAAAUAACUAAAGCUGGAUGACUGCCUCCACGGAUAAUGUGAAGGUGUAAUACCCCGUAUAUUUCUAAGAUGGAAAAUGAACCGUUGUUACCACGUAAGAAACCUCUAAUCUUAUAAUUCAUAUUUUAGUACACGACUUACAAUAAGUAUCCUAGUGAGAAGAGAGCUUAUGAUGUGUUAAACAUGUUCAUAAGAGUCACUUAAAGUAAUGCAAGCUAAGAGCUUUUGAAUCCAUCAAGUUUUAGUGUUUGAUUUCAACUGGUCAUAUUUGAACGAGCAUAAAUUGAUGUAUAUGUGGUAUUUUUGUCAGUUUUAUACCCACCAAAUUUAAGAGAAUCGAAUUAUCUUUCCAAUAAUACCAAUUUUGCCAAAAUACGGCAACCGAACGAAAAGUUAUGGCUUUGCAAAGUGGAGUGCGUCGCCUAGCAAAUCGCCUAAGGCUAAUGGAAUUCUUAUGCCAUAGGUUAGGUGCCUCCCAACCUAGAUAAGGCAAUGGUUUAGGCACUGCCCAGCCUAACUUAGGCAAUGGGCAAUGCGCCGCCUAACCUAGCUUAGGUGAUGGGCAAUGCGCCGCAUACCUUAUGGCCCAAGUGACGUAAACAUUCCAUUUUUGAGUUAUUUUGAGGGAAACUAAGUUUUUUGAAACUCCUUACGUGUCCCUAAACUUAACCUUACAAAAUUAAUAGCUCCUAAUCACAUUAUAACCUUAUGAACAUCUUAAGUUCAUCAUCUAAGAACACUAUAGGUGAAAAACAACUAGGGUUGCACAAUCAAGCUUGAAUGUCCAAUCUUUCAACGAUUUUUCCAUCAUAAAGGUAUGUGGGGUUAUGAACAAGGAAAAUACUUUCAUCCUUGUGCCUAAAAUUUAUUUUUAAAUUACAAUUACUGAAUUUUUAUAUGAUUUCAUAUGAAUUCCAAGUGUGGGUUUACACCCAAAGUAUAUUAUUGAUGAUUUUGAUCAUGAUAUGAAUGAAUUAUGAAAUUUUUAUGUUUAUUUUGAGUUAAAGAAUGUUCCUUUAUGUUUUUUGGCUAUCAUGAACAUGAUUUAAGAUAUUGUUUACAACCUUUCAAUUGAAUUGAGCAUGAUAUUCUGAUUUAAAGUCAUUAUCUUGAUACUAUUGAAGUAUGGGUUAUUAUAUAAGAUUGAGUGAUUAUGAUUUCAAGAAAGAUGAUACUUUAAGCAUCAUAUGAACAUAUGUUUAUAGAUUGUCAGUUCAUCUUUGAUCUUUAGAUCAUUGUUUUAUCUUUGGAAUCCACAUUUUAGAUU